rnacentral:lncRNA from 1 species
GGAUAUUAUAGAAUACAGAUGUGAGUGAAGGAUUAAAUAUAUGAUGCCUUUUUCUUUUUAUAUGAUUAUAUUUAUAAACUUAAAGAGAUAAGGUUAUCUCUUUUUACAUGACACCUGUUAUAUCCUCCACAUCGAUCAUGGAUUCUCUAGAGAUAAGGUGACCCCUUCCUCUUUUAUUAUUAAGGAUAGAUGUUUUCUUCUUUUUCUAUACCUAUUAUGAGCUCUGAUAAACUUUAUCUUUUUAAAAUCUUUUCCUUUCAAUUAUUGAUGCUUUCGGCUAGCAUCAUUUAUCUUUUCAAUGACAUUUCUGUCAUAUGCCUAUUAUGAGCUCCUCAUCUAGUGACAUGUCCUCCCCGCUAGAUUCCCCUUUUGAUCUUUCAUAGCAAUAGCCACAUGAUAACUAGUGCUUUAACAACUUGCAUAUCUCAUGGUGUGAUGGCAAGCUAAACUUCAUAAGAUUUUCGUAUAUUGUUUUUUUUCCUUUUUCAAUAUUGUCUGCUUGGCUAGUAUGCUUUCCUUUUUGCUCAUAGAAAAGAUUAUAUGUUCUUUUGUGGCCUCGUUGAGCCACACUUUUUCCUUACUUAUCCUCUCGAGUGUCCUUCAUAAUUAUUUGAUUUAGAUCAAUUGUGAGACUUAUUUUCUUACUGUUAAUACCAACUUGAAUCAUGUGUUGUGCUGGAUACCACUUAUUAUCACAGUAUUCAAGGCAAGUAGUGAAGAUCUUACUAAAAAUCAUUUCUUUUUUCUUAGCCUUAUUAUUACCACUUAUUAUCCUUUUUAAGAUCAUUUGAAGCCUUUUUAAUUUUUUUCUAAGUGUUCUUCUAAUUCUCUACAAUCAUUAUUGACAUAAACAAUGUUAAAAAAACUAUAUUCAAACAUGUCUUUUAUCAUUUUUAGAUUGGCUCCUAGAACAAGUUUAAUCCUUAGGUACAACCCUGAAUUAUCUAGUAUUAUAACCUAGUUAAGACGAAUCUCAUAGGCUAUUUUACCAGUUCUUUUAUAAUCAUAAACGUAAUCGCUUCCUAAAGGGAUUUGAAUCAUUAGAAUAAAUUGUCCCCUUUUGUCAUAUUGAGGCUUUGAGCUUAUUGAAGAGCUUUGAAAACCCUCUUUUGCUAAGUUAAUAUUGUGAGAUACCACUAAUGAUUAGAGGGAUAUAAUUUAUUUUUCCUUUUUUCAUAGAACCUCAUUAUGAAAUAGAAAUAAGUCCUAUAUUAUUAGGCAUGAACUUUCUUAAAGAUUUCUUUUCUUACUAUAUAGGAGAAAGAAAAAUAAGCAUAAUAAUUGAAGAGUUUAAACAAAUCAUAUCAAGAUAUGUCUAAUCUUUUUAUAGUAUAUUUAAAAUUGAUUAUACUAUAUUAUAGGCAUAGGCCAGAACGGUUCCAUACUUUAAUUGAUACUGGUUCAUGAGUUAGUUUAGCUAAUUUCAGGAUUUAUCCAAAAUCUUAUUGGAAAGAUAAUAAGCCCUUAACAAGAAAAGAUAUAAAUGGUGAACAAAUCACCUUAGGAGAAUGUAGAUUAAAACUUUAAUACAAAUAGAGGAUUAUAUUCUAAGUACACACCUAUAUUAUGUUCAUAUGAUCAUAUGGGUGCAGAUAUAAAUUUAGGAGUUGAUUUUCUUCGUCAGUUCAUUUAUUUAAUGACUAACGAAACAAUUGCUGUUAAAACACCAUGUAAUCAUUCCAUUACAACACCAAGGAUUUAUAACCCUGUUAGGCGAACAACUCAAAAAUUACAUUUUCGAAGCAGCCAGCGUGGUGAUUUCAAUAUAAAAAUCAAUCAAAUCACCUCUAAUUAUAAAGAAAUCUUAGAAACACCUAAUAAAAACGUUAGAGAAAACCUAAUUCAAUUAUGGGAAAUUGAUAAAAUAUAUGCUAAAAUUGACUUAAAAGAUCCAAAUGUUAUUAUAAAAGUCAAGCCUAUGAGAUAUGUGCAAAAUGAUAGACAAUAAUUUGAUUAACAAAUCAAAGAAUUAUUAUAUCUCAGGAUUAUUCGAGAAUCUAAAAGCCCACAUAGUAGCCCAACCUUUAUGGUUAGGAAUCAUGCAAAAAUUAAACAAGGAAAAGCCCGUAUGGUCAUUAACUAUAAAGAAUUGAAUAAAUAUACCAAAUUCGAUGGGUAUUUUUUUACCUCCUAUAAAUAAAUUAAUUACUUCUAUAAUCAAUAAAAAGAUAUUUAGGUAGUUUGAUUGCAAAUUGGGAUUUUGGCAAAUCAAACUUAAAGAAGAAAGUAUACCGUUCACUGCUUUUAAUACACCCUUAAGGACAAUAUAAAUGGAUUGUGAUACAUUUUGGAUUAAAGAAUGCACCACAAAUAUUUUAAAGAAUGAUGGACAAAAUUUUCAAAGAAUUUCAUGAAUUUUGCAUUGUUUAUAUAUAUGAUAUUCUAAUAUCUUCAGAUAAUGAAGUUGAUCAUAUUAAUCAUCUUGCUUCUUUGCAGAGAAAUGCAAGAAACAUGAAAUGUUAUUUUAUAAAAAAAUAUAUUUAUUUCCAGAUAAGUUAGAAUCUAAAGAAUAGAUUUAAAGAUUUUUAGGAUGUCGUCAUAAUGUUGAAGGUUUCAUAGAAAACUUAGUCAAAGAAAGGCAACCCUUAGAAGGAUUAUUGAAAAAAAAAUAAUACAAAAUCUUGGGAAGAUCUUCAUACCAAGGUGGUAAAGAGGUUAAAAGAAAAAUACAGAAAUCUACCAAAGAUUGGGAUUCCCUACCACUAGUAAUAAUUUAAUUAUUGAAAUUGAUUAUUCUAAUAAUCACUAGGGUGUUGUACUAAAAACAAAUCAAGAAAAGAUUUAUAGAUAUACCAAUGGAACAUUUAUACUUGCAGAAAAGAAUUAUCAUAGUAAUGAAAAAGGACUUGUUAGCUAUUAAAAAUGGAAUAACUAAAUUUAUUUUUCUUUUUCUUACCAAAAAAAUUUAAGAUAAGAUCUGAGAACACUCAAGUCAAAAGAGUUAUAUUUAAUAAAUUGCCUAAUAUAUCUCGAUAUAAAAGGUUAAUUAGAUGGCAACAGUUCUUUGCUGAAUAUGAUUUUGAAAUUGAGUAUAUUAAAAGAUCUAAUAAUAGUAUUGCAGAUUUCCUUAGCUGAGAAUAUAAUGAAGAGCAGUCUUUCCAAAAUAUUAAAAGGCAUAAUGAUGUGAUCUAAAAGUCAAGAAUUACUUCUCCAGGACAAUGAAGUGAUUUAUAAUGGGCUUGCCAUAAUAGAUGAUGCCCAUGAAAAAUUGAGCAAACUUUAUUCAGACAAAAGUUGACAAAAUCAUCCAGAAGUCCAGACUUCAAAGCAAUAUAUUAGCAUUAUACCAAAAAAUGUCCAUUUCAAGGAUCAAAUUGAAGGGCAGAUUACCCAGAUUUCUUCAUAGAACUCAAAGAUCACACAUCCAGAGAAAUUUCUCACAAUUAAUUAUCUUAAAGAACAAUAUAUAAAGAAAAAAGGUUCUCAAAACUCUUCAAUAAGUUCAAGGCCUCAAUAUGACAAAAGCAGACAGUCUAUUCUAAUGGUUAAAAUCUCAUUAGGAAACAACUACGCUUACGAUUAUAAAAGAAUGGGUAAAAUAUCCUAUAAGAUUCAUCCUACCCAAGCUAUAGUACCAAAGCAUUCAAGGUAAUACUCGAUGAUUAACUUUAUUCUAGGAGCCGAUCGAAAAUUGAUAAAAAAUCAUAUUUGAAUAUGGUUUUUUUAACUUUGUUUAUGUCAAUGUUGAUUGCAUGGAAUUAGAAGAGCUCUUAGAAAAAAUUAAAAAGGCUACCAAUGACCUCAAAAUGAUAUCUAAGGCGCAAGAAAUGAUUUUUAUAAAGAUUCUCACUAUUGCCUUGAAUACUGUGAUAAUAAGUGGUAUCAAACACAUCAUACGAUUUAAGUUGGCAUUAGCAGUAAGAAAGUAAAUCCAACUAUUGAUCUAGAUUAGGUCUACAAAGAGUAUGAUCCCGAAUCAUCCGAACUUAAAGCUUGCAGUAGCAAAAGCGUCGUUGAGAUGAAAGUCGUCUAUGAAUUCACUUGAGAGGAUAAGUAAAGAAAAAGUGCAACUUCAAAAGACCAUAAAAGAAUAUAUAAUUUUUUCUAUGACCAUAAAGGAAAACAUACUAAACAGACAAUAUUGAAAAAGGAAAAAAAAUAAUAUAUGACAAUCUUGUAUUAUUCAAUUUGCUAACACACCAUGAGAUAUGUAAGGUGUUAAAGUACCAGUCAUCAUGUGGCUAUUUUUACAAAUAAUCAAAAGAAAAAUCUAGCGGGAAAGACAUAUUGUUAGAUGAAGGACUCAUAAUAGGCAUAUGACAAAAAAAUCACUGAAAAGAUAAAAGAUGCUAGUCAUCAUGUGGCUAUUUUUACAAAUAAUCAAAAGAAAAAUCUAGCGGGAAAGACAUAUUGUUAGAUGAAGGACUCAUAAUAGGCAUAUGACAAAAAAGUCACUGAAAAGAUAAAAGAUGCUAGCUGAAAGCAUCAAUAAUUUAAAGGAAAAGAUUCUAAAAGAAUAAAACUUAUCAGAACCAUGUACAAGAUGUUGACCAAUAGAAAAAGAAGAGAAGAGUUGUCUUUAAUAAUAAAAAGGGCAAGGGUCAACUUAUCUCAAAGGAAUCCACCAUCGACAAGGAAAAUGUAAUAAGUGUCAUGUAAAAAGAGAUAAUCUUAUCUCUUCAAGCUUAUAAAUAGAAUCAUGUAAGAAGUAGAGGACAUCCUAUGUCUAAUCCUUCACCCGCCAUCAGCAUUCUAUAAUUUUCCUUUAUAAAAAUUCUAGUUAUGAAAUAAUUUUUUAGUGAAAUUAUCAACUUCAUAUAUCUUAUAUAUUCUUAGAGAUUAACCAAGAAUCUUACAUGCUAACAAUUAUGUUAAAUGAAGAAGAUUUCUUGUUACUAAGCAUUCUUUCAAAGACAAUUAUAAGAAAUUCACUUAGGUAUUUCCUAUUAGACCAGUUUGUUGUAUGUUGCAUUAGGCCAUGUGGAAUAGUCACUAGAGUAAUCUAACACGAUAUGUGGAGUUAUGGCGGUGCUGACGUGGACCAAUCUACGGUUGAAGACAAUUAGUGAAUUUAUUCCAAAAUACCGAGGAUAGUACAGUGAUUAGUAAUUUUGAACUAUCUUCUUAUAUUUUAUCAACAAACAAAAGCAUAUUGGACUUUGUUUUCUAGGAUUUUAUAAGAUAGUAAGUGAUAAAAUUAACUUAAAUUCAUAAAAAUGGAGAGAUCACUUAACAAGUUUUUAGUUACAAAUAAUAAUUUAGAUUCUAGUCAAGAAUAUCAAGUUAUUUAUACAAUUUCUAUUAUUAAAACUAUUAAUUACAAGCAAACGCUUGUACAAAGAGAUGAAAAGGAUAAACCUUAAUAAUGAUCAAGAAAUAUUUGAUUCAUUCAAAGAAGAAAAUAUAAUAGCAUUAAUGGAAUCCAUAUUAAUUAGUUUGGAAAUAAUCUAAGACAGGUGUAGAGUUAAUAACAUAACUCAAAAUUGUCCAUACUGGAUAAUAAUAAUAAUAAUCAUAUGAACCUUUUAAUCCAAGAUGUUGAAUUACAAUUAAUAUUGAAAGCCUAGAUGCUAUGUAUUUUAGUUAGGAAGAUAACUAGUAGAUAACAUAAAUAUGUUGAAGGAAAAAAUUUAGUCUAUGUCUCAAAAUAGACAAAUAAUUAUAAAUGUAGGAUCAAAUUUAGAAUAUAUAGAUUUUUAUGAACAUGAUAAUUAUUUAGAGCUUUAUAAAAUUAUAAUUAAUACAUUAAAAAAUUUUAGGAAUAAAUAUAGAAGAUAUGGAAGGGAAAAUACUCAAGUCGAUCAAAAUUAAUAAAACUAGAAUAAAAACCUUAAAUUUUAAAAUUCACAAAAAUCUAACGUAUUUUACAAAAGGAUCCCUGUGGUACUAAGUGUUUGGUACUCAUUGUUGUAAGCAUAUUAGUAUUGUAAUUUAUUAACAAUCUUUUUCUUUUUAUUGCUUUGCCUUUGGAUGUAAUUUAUCAUCAUCUGCCAUCUUUAAGCCUCAAUUUCAGUCUAAUACAACAAAUGAUUCUCUAUCUACUGAUAUUUUGCUAAAUCUUUUUAACUACUGCAAUGAUAAUACACAUACGUUUAUUUGCUUAUAAAACCUCUAUCUAGUAACCAUGUAUAACUAACAAUGAUGACAAUUUCAUACAUACUUUGUUCAACUAUUAAUAAUAUUUGAUAGUAUUAAAGAAAAUAGUUUAGUUUAUCUUUUUUUUAUUUUUUUAUUAUAAUUGAAUCCUAGUAAUGAAUCAUUACAAGGAGUUUUGUUUUAUCUUAUUUUAUUUUAUUUUUAAAAAAGAAGCAAUUACUAAGCAAAGCACGAUAGAACAAUUAAAAAUAUAUUAAAAUAAAGAACAUUAUUACUGUUUACGGCGGCCCUUAUUACGUUGAGGUUGUUCUUCAUCAUCAUCGGAAUCGGAAUCAGUGUCACGAUCAGAAUCUUUGUCAUCAUCAUCAUCGGACGGAGGCGAAGGAUCGAGACGAGCGGCAUCCUUAGCCCAGCGAAUUAUCUUCUCAACUUCAUCCUCUCCAUGAUCAACAUCACCAUCCGGUAUUUUGGGACCAACAUCCACUCCAUCAUAUUUAUUAUCAUCAUUAGCAGAGGACGAAGAAGAAGAAGCUUUAAGAGCCGCAAAUCUCGCAGAGAGGUCGUCUCCGAGAGAACUCUUCAAUUCGUCGUCAACGCUAACAUUACGACGAGUUUGAUAUUGAGAUGGCGUUGCUGAUUGAGACUUAGAUUGACGAGGGACGGAGGGUCGGGAUCUGAGGGCUUGGAAUCGACGGUCGAGAUCGGCGUCGAGGUAAUUGGAAGAGAUGCUUGCUAUGUGGGAAUCCACGGAGAGUUUCAAGAGCAUCUCAUCAUGUGCUGCUUCCAGUAGUUUUUCCACUUCAUUACUUUGAUCGCUCUUACUGUUACUUUUCUUCAUUUUUCUCCCUUCCUUUCGCUCUAUCUCGGUGCCUUGCCUCCUCUGUAUUCUUUAUUUCUUUUGUCAUAUACUCGUUGGAAGGACAGCAUGAUUCAAAUUAUCAAGCAAAUGGCGUUCAAUUACUGAAAUAUCCUUGCACUUUAAAAAAAAUAAAAUUAAUCAACAGGUUAUUUUUUCAAGGGAAAAUAUCCACCGUCCACCCGUUUUUUUCAACUUUAUCAAAAAUACACAAUUCUUUUUUUUUUUUGCUGGAAUCCACUUAAACUUACGUUUCGUUUCACUUCUCCACUUCCGUUUGCUGCCCGUUAUAACAUUACUGAUGUCGUAGGGGUAAAUUGGUCCUUUCAUCAUAGCAUCCCAAAACGACGUCGUUUACAACUUUAAUUGGAAAAAAAAAAAAGAAAAGGCAACGUGGUCCAGAGAAGCAAAUGAGAACAUCCAUGUUUAUUCACGAGUGACCCACCAAUGAAGAACCAACAAAUUCCCGCCAUUCUUUCUGCAAUUUUCGUUUAGGGUUUUUUCUUUUAGGAUCAAAAGAGGGAGAAAAAAAAAAAGCGGGACCUUUUUGCAGGUUAAAGGAGAAGCAAGAAAGUAAACGCAAUCAGUGUUUCUCUUUAAGGCUUCUUCUUCAGCUGUUGCUGAUGCUGUCGACCCUUGCUGCUGUUGCUGAUGCCGUCGACCCUUGCUGAGCUGCUGCUGCUGCUGCUGCCGCGACGACCAUGGCACUGGCGUUCUUUUUGUUUUUUUUUGGGCGGGGGUACAAAAGAGCUUACUAAUUUUCUUCAGUUGUAGCGCUAGUUGCUACUCAAAAUGGCUGAAAGGAUCCACCCCGAAACGACACAGCGCAACGAACAAGAGCCCUCACAUCUGCCGGCGCCCGCGGCCGCAGGAACCUAUGUCAUCCAAAUCCCGAAGGAUCAAAUCUACCGAGUUCCGCCCCCCGAGAACGCCGACCGCAUCAAGGGCCUCUCCCGCCGCCGCAAAUCCCGCAGCACUACCUGCUGCUGCUUCCGUUUUUGCUGCUGCUCGCUGCUUCUCCUCGUCCUCCUCUUGGCCAUCGCCGCCGGCGUCUUCUACCUCGUCUUCCGUCCCGAAGCCCCCAACUACUCCGUCGACGACAAGAUCGGCAUCUACUACGAGAGAGGCAGCUCGGUGGAGGUCUACUACAAGGACUAACAAUAAUAAUAAUUCUAUUUAAGAAAAAAAGGACCCGAUAACCCAAAUCAAGAUCCGAAUCCAAACUGGGAGGGCAAGAAAGCCGCCGCGAAGAAACAAGAAGAAGAAGAAAAGAGAGAGAAUACGAUAAUGAGAGUAUUUGGGUUUUAUUAUUUUGAGCUUUUUUUUAAUUUUUUUUUUGGGUUUUAUUAUUUUAUUUGUUUAUAUUAUAUUUAAGGUGGACAGAUUAGUUGUGGCUUGAGAGAGUUGAGAGUGAGUGCCUGUUUGGUAUGGCUUAUUUAAGAGCCAUAAGUGCUUAUUUAAUCGCAUAAGCACUUUUUAAAAAUUUUUAUAGUGUUUGGUUAUUUUUUUAGUAGAGUUUUUUUAGCUUAAAUAAGCUAAUUUACCUCUACUAGCAAAAGCCCAAAAUUUGAGCUUUUGGGAGUAGAGGUUAAAGAGCUUAUCUAAAAAAUAUAUAAUAAAAAAAAUAUCAUACAGUUUAAUGAUUCAAAAGUGUUUUUUUUAUUGACAACCAAACACCCAAUGACUUUUUGUCCAAAAACUCUAUUGGUAUAAGCUCUACUGCUAUAAGCUCUAUUGUUAUAAGCUCUAUUUAAUAAGCUGUACCAAACGGAGCCUGAGACACACUUGAGUUGGGGGUAAAAUAGUCAUUUGAUUAAGAUUCUGUUAGUUUUUGUAACGGAUAGCAAACAGAAGUGGAGAAGUGGAACAAAUCGUAAGUUUAGAUGGAUUCCAGCAACAAAAAAUAAGAAUUGUGUAUUUUUGAUAAAGUUGAAAAAAAUAAGUGGACGGUGGAUAUUUUCCCUUUUUUCAAAUUUGGUCUACUAGGCUAGGCUUGACCGGUUGUGUAUUGUAUUGUGUAGUGGAGCUGGGUAGAUUUAUCUUGAGACAAAAAAUGAAAAUGGGAAGAAUUGAGAGCACAUAUUGGAAUAAGGAAUCGCAACAUAAAUUAGUUAUAUAUUAUAAUAUGCCCCGCAUAUCUCCAUUGAAGAAAUGUCUAACCAUGAACAAACAACUACCGCCACUAAUAAUAAAAAUUGACAUAGAAUAAAAGGCCUCAUUAGAGAGAAAGCUCAUUAUGGUAAAUCUCUCUACUUCCAUUGAAUUAAAAAUUCUACAGCUCUUAAAUAAGAUUAAAAGAAAAUGGGGUCCAAAAAAAUAAUAAUAGCUUCAAACAGUACAGCAAUAAAUGAGGCUCUAAAAUUGUUGCAGCAUCUAAUGCCACCCCGCGAUUAAUGUUUUACUCAAAAGCCAAAAGCAGUCAGUAUAAAAUGAAUUUUAUGAUUUUCAAACAGAAGGCAAGCAAGGUUGAAACAGAGAUCUGCUUCGUUGCUAUUCGCUAACAACAAUGGGCUUACGUAAAUUAAAUAAAAUAGUACACCACUGAACUCCUAAUUCAUCAGUUUUUUUUAGCCCACUGUCAAACCAAAGCCGAACUUGUAAUCCUUCUUCCUGUGAUCUAUCUGCAAGAAACAUAAACUCCAAUAACUGUUAGUUAAAAUAUUGCUGAUUAAGCUCUCCUGCAAAGAUUAGACAUGAAUAAGGAUGGGAUCCUCACCUCAGCAGAAAGAAUAAAAUUAAGGCCCAUAUUUAACCGCUCCUCCAGGUAAGCGGCAGCACAGCCAUUGGAAUCAAUCUUCCCUCUCAGACGACACUGAAACAACCACAACACCAGUAAUGUAUGCGUGUUUAAUUUUAAUACUGAAGUGUAGUUGCUGUAUGUGAUGACCACAAACAGACACAAUGAUUGUAUACAUUCAUUAAGAUUAAAGGUUGCAACCAAUGGCCCAGGUGAUAUUUGGUCUACGACAUGGGCAUAAUGUACUACAUGAAGUUACUCUAUAAAGAACAAAGGUCUACCAUGUCCAGAAAAGAUGUUGGCGUCAUACUGACUCGAUAUAGAGUGAAUCACUACAUAUUGCAUGCCUUCUAUAACAAUUACGAUAUAAAACAAACUCAAUAUUCAAAUCCAAGGAACAUUAUGUCAUGAUUAAUGAGGUGAAGUUUCUAUACACAAAACAGAUAGAACUUUUUUCGAUUUCAGGGAAAAAGCAUGGUGCAAGAACAGUUUUCAAGUACUCGUGGCAACCAACCCCAUCUCUAUUUUCUUUAUUUUAUUAUGUCAAAAUUAUGGUUCUCAUAGUAUAACCCUUACUUUCAUUGGCUCAGUCGUAUUGAAUUAAAAUUUACUAAUUAUUUGUUUUAUAACAGCUUAAAAAAUAUCCUACCAGAAAUAGACAAAAAGAAGAGCUUUGUUAUACAAUAGAUUAGAACUUAGCAGAUUUUUUAAUAACAAAAGAUCUAUUACAAAGUAAAAAGUAAUCCAUGUUUUGUAAAUCUUUUCCUAAAAAUAGAAAUUGCAUUCAAUGAACGCUAAAUAAAUGUCAUACAGACAAAUGCGCGAGCCAAUAUUCAAAGCUCAGAAACAGUAGAAUAUAUCUGCAAAUAUACCUGUCUAAGGAUGUAAUCAUAACCAACACUAGAUGUGACAUCUCUUGACAUGUAGUUGUACAUGAGAUCUGUUGCUAGAGAAACCUUGAUAAAAAAAAAAUGGUAUAAGAAAUAUGCCCAGAUAACAAAUUGCACUCAUUUAAAAGAGAUAAGAAUUAAAAAAAAAAAAUAUCAGCCUUCUCACCUUCUCUGAUAACUUCUGCACAUAGCUCAGAGCAACCAUUCCAGUACUAGCAACUUGCCCUGUGGCAACCUGCAGGUAGAAGAAAAUAUAAUCUGGUCAAGCAAGUUUAAAGCAAACUGAGAUUGACUGCUCUUCUUAAAUAAAAGAACAAGAAUUAUCACAUAAACUCCGAUAUUCAAUAAGAAUAAAAGCCUCUAAAUGUCAAGCGAAUAAAAGCCCCAAUGCAUUUUUAUCUGAAAAGAGCCAGGAAAAAAAAAAACACACAUCCCACCAACCCUUGCUACCAUGCCAAAAGUUCCGCAAUCCAAAAAAGCGGUUUGGAUGGCAGCCCUAUGGUGUAUGUUGGUGUUUGAGUGGUAAAAGGCCCUCAGAUUCAAACAACGGGUCAAAGGUUCAAAACUCUAUAAGGCCAUUUACCUGGGAAAUUUGUAUUCCACAAGUUCCCUAACUACCCAGGUUGUAUAGUUUGGCAGUCAUCCCCUGUUAAGGAAUCUGAUGAACUAGAAAGAUCAAUAGAAUUUUGGAUAUCAACCAAAAAAGAAAGGUGAUUUGAAAGGUUAAACAAAAGCAAUUUUUAGGGGUCAAAAAUAUUGAGGUUUCACUGGACAAGGUGCCUGGAAGAAUAAAGUACUCUUGCCCUGCUAAAUUGAGAUCACAAUCUUGACUUAAAAGAAAUUGCCCGAGGCUAAAAAAUCUCAAUAAGAUUCCAAAACAAUUCAAGCAUCUGUACAACAGUGUGGGCGAGAGGGAUAGAGAAAAUACAAUUACCUCAGUAGCUCUUAAAAUAUUGAAGCAAACAUUCAUUGCAAGUGUACUACAUAACAUUGGGUGGUACUUCCACAGACUACAGGUUAACCUUACUACCAAUAUGAAUCCCUAUAUGCUAUUUUUAUUUAAUUAAUUGUCAUUAUUGUUACUUUAUAAGAAAUGGAGAAAGCUUUAUAGUGUCAGAGGUAAAUCCGUCACUGCUAUUGCCUACAAGAUGUUAUACAGGCAGGGGUAAUAGACCAUAUGACGGCAAACAUGAUGUGAAGAACACAAAUAAAGUACAUUACCAUCUUAUCGUUUUCAUAUCGAGCAGCAUAACCAAUACCCGACUUUCGAUGCUGACCAGCCCAAAAUACUUCACCACCCAAAGACAAAUGUGGAGACACAUUCUGGAAAAAUAUGCAAAGAGUUAAAAUUAAUAUAAAAAAUGUGUACAGUGAUUUUUUAGUAUGUAAUUAUACCCUAACAAGCAGUUAAGAAAAACUAUUGAGAUCAAUGCACAAUAACAAACCAAUAUAAAAAAAUCCUCAGAAAUAGAUACAGUUGUAUCAAGAACAGUAGUGCAAUUUUCGAACUAACAAUCAUGUAUUUGUAUACUGUCUGAGCAGCAAAGCAAAAUUACGUAAAAACUAAAGUUAAAAUUCUUCUAGAAAGUUUUCAGCUGUGUCUACAUGGUGUACUAUGUCCUAGCUGUAUUGAAUAACUCCAGAUUUCCAAUAAUGAUUUUGUCCACAAAAUAAAAGAAAAUGUAAGCAAAACUAGUGUCCAGAGCUCUACAGUCUCCCAACCAAUAAAAUACUAUAGACAUCAUUAGUCAUAGGCAUGUCAAUAAGAUCCUGUUUCUUCAUGUAAAUAUGUAUGUUAUCCAUGCAAAACGUAACAGUAUUGCAUUGCUUGAUCAGACACAUACCUGGAUGUAACUGGCUCCAAAUAGGGCACCAUUUCCGAACUGAAACUGAGUCCUGUAGUCCUUACCCUGCAUUUUGUGUUUGGGGGGGGGGGGGGGGAGGAGUGGGUAAGUCAAACCAGGAGCUGACUAUAUUCACAAUUGUAAAAGCAAAAUUGUGGUUCAUAAAAUGUGAAUCUUAAAAGAGUUUUUUCCACGAAUAACCUAGCCCACAGUUGUUGAUAAGUUUGAAGAUAAUGUAAUUUGCAUGCAGUAGUUCUUUGUAGUAAACACAAGGUGAUUUGCAACACAAUAUACAUAAAAGGAUCAUUUGUCCUAAUACAUUGAGGUUUUCUCCAAAAACUUCAUACAUGACAGGACAAUCCUGUUGACUUCAAGCUGCGCACAGCAAGAAAUGAGACCCAGUUUACUCCAGGAAAGAGGAACCCCAAAAAAAAAAAAGAACCUUACAUGGUCACCUCGGUAAGAGUGAAAUAAAAAGAUGCUCAAUGCAUUUAGUAUAUUGUUUAUCAUGCUUGUAGACAAACAAGAUAAGCACAAGCAUAAUGAUCAGUAAGAAUGGUUGACCUUAUAAUCAAAGUUGAUCAUGCCAUGUGACAUAUGAGGCUCAUUUGUAAGCUGAAAGAGCAAAAACAAAGUUAAUGUUAUGCCUAUGAAAAGCAUAGUUUCUGCGAAAACCAAAGAGGGGCACAAAAUCAGAAGGAAAAGAAAUGGCAUUAAUAGGAUUUUACCUGAGCAUUAGCUUUCAAAGAAAGAUUGUCGGACAGAUCACACUUCACUCUAGCAUUUAGUCUGCCAUCGGUCAAUACCCUCCCAAUGAGCAUCAACUGUGGGAAAACCAUCAGUACUAUUAUAAUCAAAUAAUUUUAUUUUAAUAUAAGUAUGGUAACAACCACUUACCUUCGGGUCAAUAUAGUUAGCACCGAACUCAUAGUGAGCAGUAGGGAUUUUAAUGGUUUCUGUGGAUUGUGAAGGAAUUUCUGUUGGUCCCAUGAUCACACUGAUGCAUUGUUGAUAAGUUUUAGUCAUCAAAACCAAUAAAUAAUAUAGACAAAAGUAAGUAAGCAAAUGUGUUUGUGUGUGUAGACACACGCACACAUUUAACGAACGAAAAAAUGAUGAUCAAUUUACCUAUGACUGAGUGAGAAUUUCUGAUUAAGUCCUUUGGUAAAAUCAAAGCGCAAUCCCUCGAAAAGUUCCGGCUUCAAAGACACUGACAAAGAUCUAGGUUACAGUCGUUGUACAAACUACAAUAUCAUAAAACAACCACCCAAAUACUUCCUUUAAUUAAACUUUCUCCCAAUGCUACUUUCAGUACAAGAUCUUCAACAAAAAUACAGGAAACCCCCCCUUUCAUUUUAGACCCCAAAAAAUAAAAAAAAAUGAAAAAAUAAAUAACACACCAACAUACACGCACCAAAAAGAAGAAAAAAUUAUUCCUCUGUUAAUCUACACUCAAAUGUACAACCAAAAACUAGUGAAAUUAAAAAAAAAAUUCACAUUUAACCAUAAGCAAACAAAUAAUAAAGUUUCAAAAUUAGACUUUGUACCCAAACAAAAUCCUGUCAAAUAUCAAUUUUAUAAGCACAAAAAACAAAAGAAUUUAUUAUAACAGGCAUAUUAACGUACAUAUCCAUAUCAAUUAAACCCACAAAAACCAGUAAAACCCUCAGAAACAAAAUCAAAGACAAGAGACAAACAAAACAGGAAAAAAAAAUUAACAUAAAGCUCUGUACUAUUGUUAUAGUGGCGAGUAAAAUAAGAAUAAAGAUGAUAAAGGUACAAACUUAAAGCUUCGCGGUGGAUUUCCUCAUAGGGAAUCGGGCAAGGCAAGUUCAUGUAAUCAACUUUCUCUUCUUCCUUAGGCUUGGCCGUCGAUGCGUCAGGUUUCACUGUUGUACCUGGAGGUACAAGGCCCGCCAUUGCUGCUGCUGCGUUUGCCUUCACUCAAGUAAAGAAGCGGGCGAAAGUAAAUGGAAAAAGAGGGUUUGGGGCUCCUUACGGGGGUUUUUGAGAGGGUUUUAUGUGAACUCCUUUUGUGGGACCACACCCUCGUUUUCUUUUUCUUUUUUCUUUCUUAAAAAAAUUUGAUCUCAAACUUUUUUUUUCCGCUCCCAUUACUCUUAAUUGGUAAAUAUUAAUAUCUUAGUUUUAUUUGUGAAUGUAAACAUCCACAGAGACUGUAUGACGAUACAAAUUAAGAUAAUGUUUUGGUGUUUUGAUAAUGAUUAAUGAGUAGAAAAUUAAUUUAUUUGUAAUUAAUAUGUGGUUUGAUAUUUUGAUUUAGUAGACAAAUAACGAAUAGUUUUAAAUUUAAAAGACUAACAGAUCCAUUGAUGAAUAUUUUUAUUUAUAAUGGUUAAGUGCGUGUCAAUGUCAUCAAUCCGAAACACACGUAUACUAGUUAUAUUCAAAAUAAAUCGAUUCCAUUUAUUUUAUAUUCUUUGUCAAAUUAUAACAAGAUACUGCUUGAUGACAUAAUUUAUUCAUUGAUGGUUUUAGCCUAAUGAUAGAUUUAUUGAGGGCACAAUUAGAAUUCUCAUGAGUCUUAUUAGGAGAACUUAAAUAAAUUCACAUUCUUUUAAUAAAUACACUUCUCAAAUAUUAAUAGGUGUAAACAUACUUCCUUUCGUGAGGAGAUAGAAACCGCAUAUUUGAUUAUUGUAGAUUUUCAAACAAUCAAACUAUGCUCAUUAAAAAUCGAGAUAUAAUACAAAUAAAUGUAUAAAUUUAAAUUAUCAAAAAUCACAUGCCGUCUAUACAUGAAGAUUGUAUGUAGAUUGUAAAAAAUUCAAAGAAAAAAAGAGAGCUUUAUUUGUUUACAAAUUUUGUUAAUAAUAAUAAUAAUAAUACUAGAUAGUGGCUAGGGAUGGCAAUUGUACCCGUAAACCCGCAAACCCGCCCAAACCCACCCGCCAAAACCCGCCCGUUGCGGGUAAUUUUACCCGUUGCGGGCGGGUUUAGUUUUAUAAAUUAAAACCCGCACAUGGAUGCGGGUGGGUUUAGUAUUAACCUUAUAUCCGGUGGAUACCCGCAUGGAUAUCCACCAAACCCGCAAUAUUUUUUCCAAAUAUUUUUAAUUUAAUUUUAAUCUAAAAAUGUAUAAACAAAAUAAUGUCAUUAAUUAAAUUACCAAAUAGCCAAAGGCUCAAAGUUGUGUAUGUGUGUAUGUGGCCUAUAUCCUAUUCUAAAGCAUAAUCUAAAGAAAACUAAAGGCAUUUUCCUUCGAAUUAGUAUUUGAAAAUAUUAAUCUUAAUUAUUAUUAUAGACAUUGUGUUGGAUGGGUGCUUAUGGUGGUGAAUGAAAUGAAUCUUUUCUCUUGGAGCUUGUUUUAAAUGAUAAUAUGAAAUGUAAUUAUUAUUUUUAAAUACUAGUUUGUGUUUUUUAAAUGGAUUUGUGUAAUUUAUACUUAAAUUUGAGAAUUUGUGUUGAAUUGAUGUGAAAAAUUUAAUUUUUCAAUUACAUUGUUUAAAUAUAAAAUUGAGUAUGUUAUAUGGAAUUUGAGGUUAUUAUUAUAAAUUUAUAUAUUAAACAUUUAUGAUUUUAAAUACGGAAACCCGCAAAAAAUCCGCUGGAUACCAUUGCGGGUUUGGUAAUUGUUAAAACCCGCUGCGGGUGGGUUUUUGUAAAAAAAUUAAAACCCGCUGCGGGUUGCAGGUGAAUUUGGUAAUUUAAAUUUUGUGCGGGUUUGGGUUUGGUAAUGGCAAACCCGCUGCGGGCGGUGCCCAUUGCCAUCCCUAUUGACUUUGUGCUAUGCUGCAAUUAACUGUUGGCUCAUGUGAUUCCUAACUGUAGUAGUAGUUUGAGAAUGGCCUCUGAGGCAAGUAACGCACCUACUUCUGAGAUUGAUAAUGAAUCCGACUACCAAGCCUCGAAGGCAUCCGGCAUGAGUAGAAGACUUUGCCAUUGGGUCAACAACUCCUGUCAAAAUAACUCGGGCCAAGCCAUCGGCAAACCCCAGUAACAACAAAUUUUGCCAACCUGCGACAUAUAUUUUGAAUAAAAUUAUUAUAACACCACUUUUAAUUUAUUUGUUAAAAUACCUUAGUUUAAUUGAUGAAUUAUAAAUUCAUAUGUUAAAAUUAAUCAUCUUCUCAUAAUAUUAUAUGUAAAAAAAUUUCAAAUUGCAUAAAAAUAUUAAAAUAUUAAAUUUAUCUUAAUUUUUUUCUUCUUAUUACAUAAUUUAUAUUUUCAUAACUCUAAAUUCUUCUAAUUUUCUAAAAAAAAUAUAAUUAAAGCUAAAAUAUAAAUGUAAAUUAUGAAAUGUGUAAAAAAAUAUUAAAAGAAUAAUUGUUUAAGUAUUUUAUCAAUUUCCUUUUAAAACAAAAAAUAAAUUAAUUUGUAAUAGAUAAUUUUCAAUUAGAAUGAAAGAUUUUAUAAAGAAUUUUGAGGGGUAUCAAAAGCCUACUCAUAAAUUUAAUUGGCUCCAAAAAUCAAGUUUUCAAUCCAUCAUCCAUGAGAUUGCUCAGCCUCAGAGAUUUUUUUCAUGGCUUCUCAAUCUGUUUGUUAAUUUAUGGGUAUUAUUGGACCUAAGUUUAGCUAGAAUUCUUUUAAUUAACGCUAAAAAGCUCAAGAAAAAUCAAGCAUUCAACUAGUAUUAAGGGCUAGUUUGGUGAUGUUAUAGCUUUUAAAGUAAUCUAUGUUAAUUGUGCUAUAGAAAUAAUUAGUUAUGAAGUUGAAGAGAAUCAAUCAAAUAUUUGGUAAAAUUUAUUUUUAAAAUUACUGUAAAUUCUAAAAGUAGUCAUAUAUAUUUAGUAAAUACUAUUAUUAAACUGCUGUAAAAAUAUAUAUAAUUGAAUUAGUUAUAAUGUUAAAUAAUUUAUAUUAAUAAUUUUAAUUUUCAUCUCAAUAUAGUUGGUGGUGGUGGUAAUAAUAAUAAUAAAAAAAUAAUCUUUUUAAAGUUAAUGAUUUUAUUUCUUAAUUAAUAAUGAUAAUUUCAUAUUUUUGUAAUAUAUGAGAAUAUAUAUAUAUAAUUGUAUUAAGUAUAAAAUUGAUUUUUUUAAUUAGAUUUUAAAAUGUUGCUUUUAUCAUUUUUUUAAUUUGUCAUAGUAUAUGAAAUUAAUAACAAUAAUUCCAGAUAUUUGUAGUAUGUAUAUAUAUAUGUAUGUAUGUAUGUAUAUAUGUAUGUAUGUAUAUAUGUAUGUAUGUAAACACAAUUUUAUUAAGUGUAAAAUUAAUUUUUUAAAUUAAAUUUUAAAAUGCUACUUCCAUCAUUUUUAAAAUUUACUAUACGAUAAGAUAAUUUUGUUAAAAAUAAUUUUUUUAAAAAUUUACCAAACAUUAAAUUAAUUUUUAACUUUUAACUUUCAAAACCACUUUUAAUCCUCACGAAAAUAAUCCCAACCGGAUUCCUAGAAAAACAUUUUAGUGAUCAUCAAUGUUCGCAAAUCCUGUAGAUACCGAAACUGAAUAGCUUUGCACCGUAUGGUUGAAAGCAAAUAAAUAAAUAAAUAACCGCUAUUUGACAACAUAUCAUUAGCAAAGUGGCAAGAUUAUACAAGUUCUAUCAUGCCAACAAACGGCAUCGUUUAGUUACCUCUAAUUGAAAACUCUCAAAACAAAUCCCUCAAACGACAUCGUUUGAACUAUCUUUCUCUGACCCUCCUCCGUCUCCGUUAUUCAGUCCUUUAAGUUCCCCGUCUAGGUUCCGCCACUACCACUACUACCAGCACCCGAAAAAACAGUACAAAUUAGAAAAAGUAAUACAAUGUACUCGAGCAUAGGAUACAGCAACGGACACCAUCACCACCACCAGCCGCAUCAGCAAGAGCGCGAGCGCAUGGGUGGAGGAUUAACGAGUCACAAAGACCGAGCUAGAAGAGGAGGUCGCAGGUCACGUGACUCGCUUAGGGCUUCCGAGCAUCAGCAGCAGCAACAACAGCAACAGCAGAACGAUCGCAAACCAGCAACACCUUGUACGGACUUCGACGUCGCCUACUUCCACUCCUACGCUCACGUUGGUAUCCACGAAGAAAUGAUCAAGGUCCCUUCUUUCUUAUUCUCUUGUCGUUAGUUGUGUCAAUUUUUCAUUUUCAUUCACGAAAUAAUUCGUGAAAUUUGAAGUGUACUUUUUAAUACUAAAGUGAGCAUUUGCAUAUUAUGUCGAUAACUAAGUGAAAUUAUGAGACAAUGGUUUCUUUGAAGGCACAUUAUACCCCUUUUGAACUGGUGACGCAAGGAUUUUUAAUUCCCUUACUCAGUUAAAUUAGACAUUGUUUCUUUCAUUCAUAUAAUCAAGUUAUCCAACAGAAAAGGGCUUAUAUAAUGAAUUGUUUAUACUCUCAGCCGAACCAAGGCUCGUUUAGACAAAUUUGUUUCAUUUUUGGGAAAUUUUUGUUAAUAAUUAUAUUUUUUUUCUUGAAUUCAGUGGAUUAUUACAAAAUUUGAGUUUCGGAAAUUGUCUUACCAUUUACUCUCUUUUAGUUUUUGUAAGUUUGAUUCACUGCCUUGGAAGCACCUAACUUUUCUCUGACUUGUACAGGAUCGUGUGCGGACAGAAACUUAUAGGGCUGCAAUUAUGCAGAAUCAGAGUUUUAUUGAAGGCAAAGUAAUAUUGUUGUUACCGUGGUUUCAGUUAUUUUCCUCAUAAAAAAGCUUAUAUUGAGAUAGUUAAUUGUCUUUUUUUUUUUUAAAUGCAGAAUCAGAGCUUUAUUGUCUACAUUUCACUUGAUACUUGUAUUUUGCACAUAUUUGAGCAACUGUUUCAGCAAACUAUGUUGUGCACCUCCCUACUAAUUGAUGUGAUCAUCCGUGCAGGUUGUAGUGGAUGUUGGCUGUGGCACAGGCAUUCUUUCUAUAUUUUGUGCUCAGGCUGGUGCAAAACGGGUAUAUAUUCUUUAAAAUGCGCAUAGAUAUUUAAAAAAAUUGUUUUAGCUUUGAAGCCAAUCAUUUCGCUAGUCCAUGCUCUUGUCAGUUGAAAAUAAUUGUAGGGCCCUAAUGGAAUUGACGUACUGUAGCUUUUAAUCACAGUCGCUGUGAAAUGAAAUCACUAACUGCUAACUAAAAGUGGAAUAAAAUCACUAACUACUAAGUAAAAAGUGGGUAGGUGAACAGUAAACACAACUGUCAAGUAAAAAGUAAUUGCGCUUUCCAAAAUUAUUAAUGUGAAUCAGCCGUGGAGUAAAAUCAGAUUAAAUUAGAAACAAAGCUGAAACACAACUGUCAAGUAAAAAGUAAUUGUGCUUUCCAAAAUUAUUAAUGUGAAUCAGCCAUGGAGUAAAAUCAGAUUAAAUUAGAAACAAAGCUGAAAGUGUUUCUCAAACACUUCUGCUGAUGCAUUUUGAAAAUUCAGCUGAAACACCGCAGUUACAGACGGGCCUAUACGAUGUUUGUCCAAAGAACACAAGUUUAUGGUGCACAUAGUUUCCUUGCCAUUCUCUUUAAAUACAUAUGAGGACUGCACUUCAAAUUAUAUGCUAGUUCAUAUAGUGUAAAUCUUUUAUAAUUGAUCAAUUAACUUGCUGCAUUCAACAUGCUUGUUUUUUAACUUGUGAUAUAACUUUUAUUCCGUUAAACACUAUUCGAGGUAUUGGAAACUGUUAUAUUACUCUUUCAAACAAUAUAUAGUUUAGUUGCUUAAUUGUAGAUUAAAAAUUAAUUCUUUCCGUUGCAGCAGAAAUUUGGGGUAACAAUUUGGGUAUAACAAUAUACCCAAAUAUCUUUUACUGUUCAAUGGAUUCAAUUGAAUCCUCUCACCAUUUAAUCUUGUUUUUGUUAUAGUUUAGAUUAUACUUAAUAGGUUUUUUAAUGUGUAUGGUCUUGUUAUUGUGUUGCCAGGUGUAUGCAGUGGAUGCAAGUGAUAUUGCAGUGCAGGUACUUUGUUCCUGUAAUGCUUAUUUUUUUGGCAUACAUGCUGCAUUUUGUUUCAGCUAUCUAAUUUAAACAAUGUAGUCAUGAGAAGUGUGUAAAUAUUCUGUGCGCUUGUUGGCUAUGGAACCUUGGUAGCAUUUUGUGAACUAUUUCUUGAUAGAUUAUUCCAGGAAUUAUAGUAAAAAAAGAAGUUAAUGGUUUCUUUUAAAAAAAGAGCUAAUGUAGAUUAGUUUUAUUAUUUAAAAUAUUGGUUUGGAGGAAUGAUAAUAUCAGCUUUAUCUUGUGUGCCAAAGAAUGGGAUCAAACUAAUUUCAUUUUGUUAUCAAAUGUCUGGGUUAUUUGUGCUCAAAUUAUCUAAUAAUUCCCUUUGGGAUUAGUGUUCUAAAAUCCUUCAUCAUCACCAUACAACUUUAUUUAUUUGAGCUUUCUUCCAGCAAGGCAAACCAAGGAAUCUUUCAGUUAUAAUUAAUCAAGUUAUCUUAAUCAGACUGAUUCUUUUUUCUUACUUCCCCAAGAACGAUUCCCCUUCUUCAUAAAAGAUUACUUGCCAGUGUUUUCUACGUAUGUUUUGGAAAUUUUGGUUCACACUCACUUUUUACCAGGGCAUUACAGGGAUGGCUUAAUUGCUUAUGAUUUGCUCUGGUUAAUUUUGUGUUAAGAGUGAGUUCUUUACAUGACCUGGUUGUUUCUUGACCAAUAUUGCUAAAUUUUUUUUUUCCCUAACACUUUUGGUACUUCCCUAAUGAAUCAUUUGAGACUUUGGCCCUUUCUCAUUGCUGGUUCACAGAAUAAAGUUUCUGUUCAUUUAAGUAGGAUUAGACCAUCUAGCCUAUGUGGAUAUUCUGGUUCUCUCUAUAUUUCCCCUUCUCAAAUUCCCUCUUCUUCUUCAUCCUUUCAGUCUUGAUUAAUUAACAUUUCUUCGAAUACUUUCCUUGGAUUUAUGCUAUGUGCUAGUUAUGUCUCUACGGAAUCCACAUUAUUGAUAUGUGUCACUUCUUGUAAGAAUGCAUUCUCUGUGGGAGUUUGAAUCCAAGUGGGGUUUGAAAUGACCUUUUUUAUUGUUGUGAAUAGGCAAAUGAAGUCGUGAAGGCAAAUAACUUAACUGACAAGGUCAUCGUUCUACAUGGACGAGUAGAGGUGAGCUUCUGUAGACUGGCUAAUAUGUUGAAUCUCCUGUAAAGAGUUGCCUUCGAGCUUCUAUAUCUAGGUUUAAGUGAUGGAUUAAUUUUGAAAUUCCCUUAAGUUUUGUUUUUUUUCUUAAGAAACCUCAAACUUUCUUAUUUCAUUCAGUUUUGCUAUCUCAGGAUAACAGGCAUGUUUUAGAUCUUAGUAUUUUGAUUUCUGCAGGAUGUUGAAAUUGAUGAGGAGGUUGAUGUUAUAAUAUCUGAGUGGAUGGGCUAUAUGCUUUUGUAUGAGGUGAUUAUUAAAAUUUUGCAUAUUUGAUUACAUAUUGAAGUGCUGUUUGUAAGCAUGGAACUAUAACUGGAACACAUCAAGAUCCAGGCAUAACAUUGUAGUUUCCAACUCUAACAGUGGAUGCCUCUUUUUUGUGGUUAAAUAUUGUAGAGUAUGCUGGGAAGUGUCAUUACUGCCAGAGAUCGCUGGCUAAAACGUGGAGGUCUUAUUCUUCCUUCAUAUGCAACGGUAUGUGUUCUUUCUUACUCUGCCUUGUAAUCAAUUUUAAUCCCGGCUUGGGAGAGUCAUUACCAUGGUUAUACUUCCAAUUUACUUCAUUUUUUUCCCUCUCAAGCCAAAAUUAGUUUGUUCUGCAUUAAUAAUUGUUGUUUUUUGUAAGUAAUAACUCAAAUCUAUAACCCAUAAGCUUAAGCUUAAGCUUAUAGGGAGGGUCUGAUAGUAUUUUGCUCUAAUGAUUUUUAUUUCCUCUUUUUCUCCAGUCUUGUGACAACCUUAUUUGGUUGGAGCUCCAUUUUAUUUGACUGUAGAGUGGAUCGUAUAUUGCUGAUUCUUGUUCUUUGCUGCCUGCAGUUGUACAUGGCACCAGUUACACACCCUGACAGAUACAGCGAAAGCAUUGAUUUCUGGCGUAAUGUUUAUGGAAUUGAUAGUGAGUACUAACAUGUAAAUUUGACAUUCUAUUUUCGUCAGUAGAUGCGCUCUUGGAACAAAAUGUUAAUUAUAUUGAUCACUUGUCACACUUAUUUGUAUGUUUUUUUUUUUUCCUUUGGCUUAGUUCUGGUUUCAACUAUGUGAAUAUUUGAAUAUUGUCCCAUUCUUAAGAGUGUUUAUCUUUUAAAAUUUCCUUUUUCAAUCAAUAUUAUCUUUGUAGUUACUUGUGAUCUAGCAAAUGUCAUAUUAUUGGUUGCAGUGUCUGCAAUGAUGCCGCUAGCCAAACAGUGUGCAUUUGAGGAACCAUCUGUGGAAACAAUAACGGGCGAAAACGUUUUGACAUGGCCACAUGUGGUGAGUCCUCUCGUCUUAAAUAUAUAGUUUCAUUUUAUUCUAAAGUAAGGGGGGUGGGCAAAGCCCAAAUCCAUUUUUUGGCCCCCUACCUCUCCUAAAGAUUCAGGUGGCCAGCCAAAUAAAGUUACUUGAUCACCACUUGGCCAAGCAACUAAUAUUAAUGUCUAAACUUGUCUAUAAGAAGAAAAGAUGAGCUAUUCUCGGGGCUUAUGUGGGUCAGCUAACAUGAUUUUUUCUUCCCUGUGGUUAGAAACAUUAUUAGAUAUUAAGUUCUAAUUGUUUACCAUAGAAACAUUUAUGGCCUAUAACUGGGCUGUGAUGUCCCUAAAUUUGAUGGCCCCCACAAGGAGAAGAGUAUUGUUAGAUAACCUACUGUAUAAUUAAGGCUUCAAAUUUUUGGACACAAAUUAGAUGUGCCCUAAUAUCCAUGGUAGCAUAAUGUUCUUUGUUAGGCUGGGACAAGAGCUGUUGUACAAACUAUUGACUUUUACUUUGUAUAAUUCCCUUCAGGUUUUGAGACAGUAUGAAGGGUCAUCUGUAUCAUUUUGACUGUGACAAUUUUAGCGGAGUCAUGGCUCUUCUAGAAUUUCGUAUGUGAUUGUCAAGAGCUUAGUGAAGUAAAGGGAACUUUAAGUUUGGUGAUGUGGUCUUGUGUGCUUUGACCUGAAUCAAUUCCUUGAGGUUGUGCCUCUAAGGCUGUCUGCUUUAAAUGAUGCUUAACUUGCUUUAUGUGUCAUACAACUCUGAUUAAGCAUAUAGUAUUAAAACUUUGAAUUUUGUCUGCACUUGCUAUGGACAAAUUUAUAACAAUUGCCAUUUACAGGUUAAGCAUGUAGACUGCUAUACCAUUCAAAUUCAUGAGCUAGAAUCUAUUGCAACAACGUUUAAAUUCAAGUCAAUGAUGCGCGGUACUCUCUUUCACUUAUACAUCAUAUACACCACUUUAUAGCUCUUCAUAGUAUUUAUAUUUUGUCAAUCCAACCAUUGAAUCAAAAUUUAUGUUAAUAUCCGAAAUGCCCGUCAGAUAUUAUACCAAGUGGAUACUGAUCCAUAAUCUCACGUUUAUGUACAGUAAUGAAGUUUUUUUCAUUGGAAAAAAAAAAUUAAAAUUCAGUAAGAUAGUUCUAGUAUCCAAUAAACUUGAACUUGGUGCAUGUAGUGAAUGCCAAGGGCUUGGGCUUCAAAUAUUGGUUCGGUCAAUUGUUAGUCCUAGGAUAAGAUAUGAAGUGGUAUUAGUUAAAGGAAGUUUCUGCUAGUUGUAAGUAGUAUAAACUAUAAAAGAAUCCAUUAGACCAUUUGGUAGUUUAUGGCUUACUUUUGUCUCUAUUCUCUAUUCUAAACUAAACUCUCUAGGCUUGCUUUUGUUUCAAAUUUUUUUUUUUUUUUUGUUAUUCACUUUACAUUUCUAAAAUUUUUACUUUCUUCCAGCACCACUGCAUGGGUUUGCUUUUUGGUUUGAUGUUGAAUUCAGCACCCCUGCAAUAUCUCCUGCCAAUAACCACAUACCACCUGUAGUCGUUGGUUCAUCUAACAAUCAUCCAAUGGAUGGUUGCCAGAAGAAAAAGCGUGCAAAUCCUAAUGAAGCACUUGUGUUGUCUACUGCACCUGAGGACCCUCCAACACAUUGGCAACAGGUAUUGAAUAGUUUCACGUUCCCGCAAGAAUUUUCAUGUCUUGUUUACGUGGUCAGCUCCUUGAAACCUGUUAUUAGUCAAUAGAACUGUGACAGUAACAUAGAAAAAAUAAAGUGCACUUGCAAAGUAGGUGCCACAUACAUAGGAAUUGGAUAUGAGAAAGCUCCCAGUAUCCUUUAGAGAUUGUUGACAAUCUUGUGGUUCACGAUUUUGGUGAAUGUAUAACACGGUUGCUUACACCAUUGAUACUACCCUUAGUUAUGUGGCAAGUGAAAUGAAUGAUCUCACUGCACCUUUCUCAAGCCAAAUGGUGUUUGAUGAAUGAUGUGCACGGUUGUUGAAUGACCUAAAUGAUGAUUCAGAGUGCAUAAUUAAAUGUAGAUUAAUGAUGAUUCAGAGUGCAUAAUUAAAUGUAGAUUUUAAAAUCCUUGGACGUCAUUAGCCGAUAGAUCGGUUACUGCCAUGAUCGUCUGAUGUACCAGCAAUAGUAACAUUUCCCUUAAAAUAAUCUCUUCAGUUUAAGCAGCUUGGAAAAUUAUUUUGCCUAUGUCACCUAAAGGCAUAGAUGACCAACUCAGUGUGCAGUGGAUUGGUGACAACACUAGUUGAUUGUAAUUUGAUAAUUUAAGAAAUCUUGGACAAUGAUAUUGGUAUUAAGUUAUUGCCAAAAAGAAGUCUGAUCAUUUUCUUUGCUCUUUUUUACUACUAGUUUUCUUGGUGUUGAAAACUUGUGGAAUGUUUUACAUGAAGUUCGUUGUGUUAUUGGUUUACUUCUUUGCAGACAAUGAUCUACUUUUAUGACCCAAUAGAGGUGGAGCAGGAUCAGCUCAUUGAAGGCUCUGUAGUACUGUCACAGAGCAAAGAAAAUGCUCGAUUCAUGAAUAUUCACCUUGAAUAUGCGUAAGUCAUAGCAUAUGUUUGUCAAUCCUCAUGCUCAAUUCUUGAUGGUCAAAGUGGAUAUGGCACAAUUUCCUGUUGCUGACCAAUGCUGCGAUCUUUGUUUUUGCAGUUCAGGGGGUAGAUCCUUUGUAAAAGAGUCAGUGAUGCGGUGAUCCUUGUAAGCAUUCUGCUCCUUGUAUUCUGUUUCGGUUUCUUACACUGAAAGCUUCGUGAGUCUUGCAUGGCUCAACAUUCAAACUUUCUUGCCCACAAUUACGGGCAGCUGUUUGUGCCCUAAUGGACUGCCUCAGUUGACCUUGUGGAGGUGGUGGAUCUCGCUAUGUUUACUUGGCAAAACCUCGAAAAGGUGAAACAUUUUCAGCGAAUUAUAAAUGUAAAUGUAGGCGAACCAUUUUGGGAAUGUUUUAUGUGAAUGUAGUUGCGAAAGGAAGUAUCAAGUGCUGGGUGAGGUUGUAUCUUUUCAUAUAUUAUAGGUGCUAGCUGUAGGAUGAAAAUGUUAGAAGUUUCUUUUAGAGUGAAAAAUUGGUUCAUUGUGAUCGAGUUCAAAGACACUAGUUUCAACUUCUGUAUGAGUAGCUCAGACAUUUGUUUCAAUGUUGUAACAUCAUUGUACACAGCCAUGAUUUCAAUCUACCUGUGGACAUUUACCAGGUUUUUAUAAUAUAAGACCUAUUUUUUCUUUCAUGUCUUGUCAAUCUUCUAUUUGUAUUUUCUUAUAUUAUGUACUUAUCAAUGUUGAUGCAUUAAUCAUUAUCAAAAAGUUUUUCCAUAAAAGCAAAGUUUGUGGUGCCCUUACUUUCUUCUGUUUUUGUUUUUCCUACAGACAAAAAUAAAACGAUCUUACCAUGCUAGUUAGAUCAAGAAAAUAACGGGAAGCUUAGUUUGGCAUCUGUCCACUUAAAUAUUUAUUAGAUAUAAUAUUCCAUGCCAUGCAGAUUCUUUGAAACUGAGUAAGACCCUAGUGAGGACAAUCAAAUUUGACAAAUUUUGUUCGGAGCUAGGCUUACAAUCAUUGAUCAAUCAACUCUGAUACCCUUUUGCCAUAUCAUUGUUUCUGUAAUACAGCUUCAUAUAUAUUUCUUCUUCGAUGAUGGACCUGGAAGGUCCGAUAACCAAUAUCAUUGACUAAUAUAUUCAUUCCAUUUCCUAUCUCUAAUUAUUGGUUAAAGAGCUUUCUACUAAAGCACUGUUACCGACUCGUGAUCUGUUAUGUUCAAAAACAUGUUAUUUUCAUAGCCAAUUAAUAUUAUUGUUUAAGCAUAUGCCAAUGUCAUUAGUAGUGCAGAUCAUUAAAGGAAGCUAUAAAAUUUGUUCCAAACUGUCUAUGCGCGGAGAACAAACUUCGCGAGUUCUUAAAGCAGAAAUUAGUGAUGUUUCUUUCGAAAGGUGGGGGGGUACGGACUAUUGGCGGUAAUGUUAAACUUAAUGUAAUUUACUUGAUCAAGGGUAUGCUUGAAAUUUAUGAGGAAAUUAAAAAUAUUCAGUCCUUUCUUUUGAUCAAAUAAAGCUUUGGAUUUUCACUCAAGUAAUAGAUAUAAAUAAAAUAAGGGUUUGGUUUAAAAUAAUUGUUUAAUUCAUAUGCGUUGACAUUUACAAGCAUGUGAAGCAUUUUUUUCUUUUUCUUUUUCUUUUUUUUUUAAGGCGAAAUGUCAUGCACAGGGCUAGCUUUAUGCCGUUGUUUACGUGGAUUUUCAUAAUUAAUUCUCCAACAAACAGCCUAUAUUUUGGCAAGAAUUUAUACUGAAAAGUAUACUCAUUGUUAAAGCAGGUGUGUACUAAAGAAGAAAGAGCAGGAGCAGGUAUUAAUGGCUAAGUUUAGGGAUAAGAUUCUUGUAUGGAUGCUUGUUGACUCACUUAUUCAUUCAAAUGUGUACAAAAAAUCAAGCUUAACCAAAAUUUUCGGUUCGAGAUUUAGGAAUUGCUGAAAUGUGAACUAAAUACUCAGUCCCGACAUGUCAUAUGUUGAUUUCUUGUUAGCAUGAAAUGUCGUUUGAAGAGUGUUUGGAACGAAACCGACAUGAUCCAGAAUAUCGUUCAAUGUUAUAAGCAGCUCACAUGUCUGGCACGUGAGCUGAAGGAAAUACUUGGUCACUUGAAAUGACUAAGUAUUAUGUCGUUUCAAACCUGGUUUCAGAGACAUGCUGCAAGCACGUGACUGAGGUUGAUAAUUCUGUUAGAAUUAGCGGGAAAAGCCGCCGAUGAAGAAAGAUCCAUAAUCAGUUGAUAAAAUGGCUGGAGUUCUGGGUUUGUAACAGACUGACACGAGAGUGAACAUUGAUAAGGGAAUGUGAGAGAGAGUUGUGAAAAGCUUGUAUUCUCCAUUUGUGUUAAUGCUCUCUGUAACUCUUGAAAGCAAUAAGAAGUGAAAUCACAGUGCUUGUUUCCAGUGGAUGUAGGCAUCAUUAAUUUGGUGCUGAACCACUUAAAUUCGUGUGCGUUUUGUCUUUGAUUUGUUUCUUAUUCUUGAUUCUUAGUGUAUUGAGUGAUUCUUGGAAGGUUCUUGGGUCAAGGUCAGUGAGUUAAGUGUUAUUGGGGUGAGUUUGGUCUCGGUAGUUUGGGUCUAAAGCACAACAGGAAUGCAGCUACGUUGAAUACUUGUUGUGAGAGUUUUACCGCCUUGGUGAUUUUACCCGGCUCGAAUCUGGAUUAGUCUCGAAGGCCAAUGUAAUGUUCGGAUAACAAUGGUUUAAUAAAAAAAAUAUAUUCUCUAAUUGCAAACCCCAAGUUCGUAAUGAAACGCAACCGAUCAAUAAAAGGAAGUGCAAUUGUGUUCUUCUCAAGAGCAACAUCCUAUCAACUACUAUUGCUGGGGAUGAUAAUAAUAUCUUGUCCUUCCUCUCUUUUGACAACAACAGAGGAUCAUCAUCUGUUGAUGACCAUGUUUCUGCUGUUGGGAAGAUUAUUGAGGGUCCCCGAACGAUGGGUUUUCUCACUUCUUUGGUAAUUGCCAUGGCAUUAUAUGUCUUACUUUCUAAUCCCGUGCCGUCACAUUAGCUAAGCCAGCUCUCAGGGAGUUCUCUGAGCUCCCUGAAACUCGUUUCCAUAAUUUGCAAAGUUCAGAUAUGGAGAGGCCGUGGCCUAUUACUCUUUGCUUUGGUUAUGAUCCCAAAUCCAAUGGUUGCAAACCCCUCCCAUGCCUUGGAGUUUUCGAUACUUCCAAAUGCAAAUUUGCUACUAUCAGCAUCGAAGAAUCCACCUUGAGUACAGAUUCCUGGAGAGAACUCUAUAAUGUAUACCUUUUUUUGAAACUCGGAUGUGUUUUCUUCCAUCAUUUGGAUCAAAGUAAGCCUUCCAUCAUUUCGUUGGCAUGAGUGAUGAGGUUUUCAGAAAGACACGGUCGCCAAAUUCUUCCUUUGAUGCUAGAAGAGGUUAUCAGAAGCUUAUAUGCAUUUAAAUGAGUCUCUUGCAUAUUUUUAUCUUAAUGACCUUUGGAAUCAAAAGUUCUUCAAGAUAUGGGCCAUGGAUGACUGUGGUUUGAAAGGAACAUGGAAAAAACUAGCAACAGUGUAGAGCUUAUCAUGACAGACGAGGAUGGAAUGCUCUGCGGCUACAACUUUAGUACCCAAGAAAUUAAAUAUCUUCCUGUUGAAAAGGCAUCAUAGACAUUUCAAUGCUGCGAUUUGCAUGAGGAGCCUAGUUUCACUCAGAGGAAAUAAGCUUGACAUAGGAGAAGACAACUUGACAAAUGAAAGUAUGCUCUAAUAUAAUCUCAUACUGCCAAAUAUCUCUCAAACGCUGAGAGCGAAAUCUCUUAACAUAGUUGGGCUAAGUAGUGGAUUCCCAUUUCUAUAAUGGAAGAACAACGGUAGCUUUUGGAAAGUAUUUCUCAUCAUCUACAUAUUAGGUUAGAUUUUCUCUCAUCACUUUUUUCUAUCUGCAGCUGCUUCUUUCUAAUUACUUUUAAGAAGUUUUUGUAUAGGAACCCAAUUUCUGUUAUAGUUACAAAAGUCAGAAAAGUUUCAGAACUUGGUGAAGUAUGAUAAUUCACAAGCACAAGCCUGGAAAACAUAGGCACUUCUUCAUCAACAUAAAAAUCUAUUACUUGCUAUUGCUAUUUUGCAGGCCAAGUGAUCAUCGUGGUCCACGCAGUACAAGCGACCACUUAAAUAGCGGGAUAACAAAUUGGAAAAAACUUUAAACAGUUUCAGGGCCUAAGUAAGGCCUAAGGCCUAAGCAUAAAUAGUGGACAGAUGCAUGUGAUCGUCUCCAGCCUUCAUUCCCUGCCGAAGCAAUUUUUUUCAAUUGGACAAAAAACCAUUGCUAAUUUGCAUGAUUAUCAUCAAGAACAAUUGAAACAUUAAUGAAAUCUAUUUCUGAUAAACACCACACUUGUGCUCUUCAGAACAGAGCAUGAGCAUUAACGUACUCACAGUCGUUAACAGACUUGAAUCUCGAUGGCCCAAACUCCAUGCGAUUCAUUAAAAUAGAUGUCUAAAAUGCAAACCCUUGACUUCCCACUGAAAAUUGAACUGCGUUGGAUCAAUGAAAUUUGAGAUCAUUCUUUUAUCUGUAUUUUUAGAUUGUAACUCUAUAUUUGAUACAUUUCAAUUUGCAAAGGAUUUUAGAUAUACCGAUGCCAAUCAGUCUAACACUCUUGAAAUCUCUUUACUUUCACUGCGAGAGUCAAAGCAAUUAGACUACCUUCGACAUAAUAUUAUCUUUUAAAGUUUAGCACAUUAUUAUUAUUAUUAUUAUUGGGCUUAUACUUGAUUAUUUGCUUUAUGUCCUCUCUGUCAUGUCAUCGAUGGUUUGACGGUUUCUAUAUGGAUGUUGUAGUUUUUGCAAGACUAGGAUGAUGCCCUCUUGUUACUAAUGGUAAUUUCAAAAAUUUAAAUUAUAUAGAAAAAAAAAACUUUAAGGCGCCUUGUUACAUGUAAUUUUUUUUUAAAUAUUUAAUUAAAAUAAUUAAAAAAGGGACAAAAGAUUAGGUAAAAUUCUGAAGGAUAACGAAAGUUCGUGCAUAUGCAAAAGUUCAAUUAUUCAAGAUCCCCACUAGCGUCACCAACUUACAACUGAACCUUGACUUUACUGUCUCGACUUUCGACAUGCGAAGGCCGAGGAGAGGCUUCGUGGUUCCUUCCUCUAUCUUCUGUCUUUGUGUGUGUGUGUGUGUGUGUUUUUUUUUUUUUCUCUUAAGACAGAAAAAAAAAAACAACUAUAUUACUGCGCAAGUUAUUAAACAAUUCAACAUGUUCGAGAAAAUAAUGGCAGCUUUGGUUUGUCUUAAAAAUUAGCUGUCGCUUUAUAAUGACUGAAAAAGACAAUCCAAUUGGACUAUUCUUGUUCUGAAAUUGGGCUGGAUUAUAUUCAUCAAUCAAUCAACCCUAAUCACAAAUUUACUUAACGUUAUGGGGCAAGAUGGUAUCUGAUAUCACUAUACCACCAGUAUAGCUAGGCCUAGGACCACUGCAGCAAUAAUUAAGCUUCACUGGUGGGUGUAUAUAUAUAUAUAUAUAUGUAUAUAAUGCGAUCAACCAUGUAAUGCGAUCACCUCAUCAUCCAUUAAUUAUACAGUAGUAAUAGUAAUAAUAAUAAUAAUAAUAAUAAUAAUGUAUAGUCCCUGUAAAUAAUUUCUUGUGUGUCAGAUAAGGAAGAUCCAAUAACCACUAGAAAUAGCUGAUAAUUCAAACUAUUUACCAUUUUUCUAAUGAUUAUAUAUACAAAAAUGCAUGUCAAGAAAUUAAAGAAAUUUUUUUGGAGCGAUCUUCCGAUAAAUUGGCUCCAUCACCUUCUCUAGUUACUUAACUUUUUACUUUACGUACUCUCCGUUAUAUGUAGAUGUUCUGCGUUUUCAAAAGAAAUAUGUUCAUCUCAUUAUACGAGCAUAUGGCAAUGACAUAAGCAAUUAAAAAGGAAGUUCCAUAUAUAUAUAUAUAUAUAUAUAUUUAAAAUGCAUGGCAUAUGGAGAACGAUAUAUGUUUUGCUUCACAAUAUGUUAAAGCUAUGAUUAAUCCUGAGUCAUACAUACUCACGCUUCUUUGAAAAAACUUUAUAUGGUGGGGAAACACUAAAGAGUAAAUAAUGGCAUGAGAUGGCAUGAGAAAGAGAGUUUGGUUGGUAAUCGCGAGGGCACUGGUAAUCUUCUCUGAUUUUGACUUUAAAUUUGUGAAUCACGUGCAUGCGAAUGAUAUGACAGUUGGAAUGCAGAACAGAUAUAUUAAGGUAGCAAAUUAUUUAAAGACGAUCAUAUUAGACUUUUGGUACACAAUUUUUUUUUCUUAGAAGUAAUUAACAGUUCUACUACUAAAAAUAAUUGCGAUUCUAGAAAUAAGUAGCCAAUAUGGAGGUUAAUUAUAUGUGUUAUGUUGUCUCACCUUCACAAAUCUUCAAAGGGUGAAUUAAAGAGCAGCGCCUCCCUCCAUUAUAUUCUUUCCGUUUCUAGAAGUUGUGAUACAUUUAGAAAUUAGAAUGAAGAUUAAUAAAUAAUAAUGCAGCUAAAACUUCGUCUCAUUCUUAUCCCCUUCCAGAUUUGAGAGAUAGCUGGUUUUUUGGUACUGAAAUCAAUAUAUGUUAUUUACCCUUUAUUUUUUUUAUAAUAUUUGAAAACCCCUGACAUAUAUAAAAAGUUUAAAUUAAGAAAAAAUUGAUAAACAUACUUGAAGUGAGGGAAAUUCUUUAAGAUUCAGGAAAGGUUUUAUCUCCACUAAAGUCUGUCAUGUUCUCCUCAAUAAUUAAUCAAGACAGCAUACCAGCAUUAUCUUGUCGAGAAUGAUCAAUCGAUCUCCUUAAUGUUAGAAGCAAACUAUCGAGCAUCAACUGUAAACAACUUAUUAACAUACAUGCAUGCUCACAUUUGGAUUUGAUGGAUGUCCCUUUAGAUUACACUAUAGUUCGUUAUUAAUUAUUAAUUCAUGAAAGUUUUGUAACUUAUCAAUGUCGAAUAGGAACCACACCAAGAUCAUUUCACUGUCAAUAUAGCAAGAGUUAAAAUCGGAAGGCACAUAGGGCAAGAUCAAGUCAAUCAUGUAUCACAUGCACAAACAUAUGAUAAUAAUUAAGACCAUUAUGAUACGCAUAUAUGACAAGAAUCAUUACCAUUAUAUGCAUGGAAAUAAUAUAUGUGGAAGAUGAAUAUAUCCUCAAUUUUGGAUUCAAUUAUAAUUUGUAUUUAGUUUCUUUUCUUGUCUCUCAAAAUCAGACAUAAAUAAGUAGCUUUAUAUCAUUUGAAUGAGAGAAAUUUUAUUUUUAUUCUUUACUGUUUGUUUCUUUCCUCCAAUUAAUGGCAAUAUCAAUUCAAAUUCAAAUUCAAAUUAUUCUAAAUUCAAUAAUUAUAUUAAUAAUUGUAAUAUUGCUAGAAAUUACAGAUCAUGAAUGUUCAUUUUCUCAUAAACUUCAUGGAGGAUGCAUAAACAUGUCUAGCUUCUGAGUUCUUCUAGUUGCAUGUGCAUGUAUUAAGCAUAAUAGACAGAGAGAAGAAAGAAAAAAGGGAGAGAGAGAGCGAUCAUAAUUAAAAAAAUAAUAGUGGGUAUAAUAAAAAAUAAGAGUAACUUUUAGGUGGUAAUAAUGGCUCAAUUAUUAGGAGUGUGUGCAUAUCCUAUGUACUCCCAACUCCAAUACUCUAAUGUCUUUGUGACAUUCCCACUCACUUUAAUUUGCUUUCGUAUUUUUCUAUCAUAUCAUAUUUUUGGUUGGUCUUGUCGUAUUUUCGUGCAUUACCAAUUGAAUAUCCCCUUGGUAUCUUAAUCCUUUUUCCAUACCACAGAUAUUUUUCAUUGUUUAUUCUCACCAUUAAGCCAUUUCAUUGUCGAUAAAACAUAUGUUGGCGACAAGAAAUGGGUAAGUGGAGAUAUGCGACUAAUUCUUUAUUUGAGUUGCUUUUAAGUAAAUUAUUUGUAUGUUACAUGUAUGAACAUUUUUUUAUUCAGAUUUAAAUUAUUUUCUAAGACCCUUUGGUGUGACUUGAGGACAUUUAUUGUAUUUCUACCAAUCUCAACGUAACACUUGGGUUACACGAUCGAGAGAUUCUAAUUUUGAAAAAUCAACCCUCUUUUUUUUAAUAAAGGUUAAAAAUAUGAGGAAAAAAAGUAGGAUCUUUGCAUUAAAGUGAUGAAAUUCAGAUGGGCGGUAGCCAAUUGAGUUUUUGCAUGCUAUGUGAGGAUUUUAUUUGUUGCGAUGCUAGAUUUCCUCUAAAGGCUAAUGAAGCUUCGAUUACAUAUUUGAAUAAUAAGUUGAGCUUAUUGUAUUAGACGCCUGCCAAAAAAAAGAGCUCAGCAGCCAUAUAAGUGUUAAAUCAUGAGAUUACAAGCAAGAUUUACUUUUAAACUAACCUUCCACUCACCAAGGAAAAGGGUUUGUGAUGUUACCUUGGUUCUUAUUUUAUUGUUAAUUAUUAUUUUAGUGAAAAAGGGCUUAUGAUUUUUUUUUAGCUUUAAUUUUCAUUUAACAACAAUAAAAGAAACCUAACUUUCCAUGCUGUGAUUUACAUAAUUGAUGUUUAUGCAUGGGUGAUUAUAUCUGCGGAGAAAACAUAAAAACCCUGGAAUAAUUGAUUUUUUCUUGCCCACAUUAAUUAAAAAUGAAAGCAUAUAUACAUUAACCCCAGUGAGCCUAAACCCUUACCUGAUUUUUGGACCAUUUUUUAAACUCUUGACCCCAUUUUUGAAACACUUGACCCAUCAAGUCCCCUCAUAUUGGUGAAAUGCAGAGAUCUUGACUUAGCGAAUGCUUGCGAUAUGGGUGAUCCACUAUUAGAAAAUAAAAAUAAAAAUAGAAUGAUUGGCAUAAAAAAGCACAAUAUACAAAGAGACCCAUGUUGUGCAAUAAUUAUGUAUAACUGAAACAUGCAAUGUUGCUGUCUAGCCAACUUUCUUCACAUCACGCGUGACCCAUAAACCUGUACAUUGCCCAGAUCAUCAUUAGGGAAAGGUCUCAGGUCAUGCGGAUUGAUAUAUACCCAUGCAUGGUUCAUUUGGCUACCACUACCACUCAAAUAUAUGCACAUUAUUAAUGUUAUAGUUUGCUGAAUUUUGAGUUCGUUACUUAUUAAAGAUCCAACAAUGAAGAGAGAAAAUUGAAAAAGAAAAAUAGAAUGGGAAGAGAAGAGAGGCUACAGAUAAAGAAUUAUUAUACCUACCUUUUUGUAGUAGCAAGCUUUUGAAAAAUAAUGGAGGAAUGAGCUACUAAUGGUAUGGUGAAAAAAUAUAAAUUCUAUCAACAAAAAAAAAAAAAAUUAGUUGCUUAUAAAGAAACUAGAGUGAUUAUAAAACUAUGAAUAUGAUAAAAUAGAUUAUCUUUUGUUGGUGAUUAAAUUUCCAUUCCUAAUGAAUCCAAGUAUGCACCUAAGAGGCUAAAAUAUUUGAACUCUUGUGGCUGCAACAUUAACUAGUUGGGAAUCAUAUACGUAUGUUUGUGUAGUCAGAUUAUGCAGUUUACAAAAUUUUUACCAUGAAUUCAAUCCUUACUAUUAAGUAUUUCUUUGAUGAGAAACAAUUAAUAUAUCAUCCAAUUCUUUUAUUAAUUUGUGUAACAAAUUUCCAUGUUAAUUAAUACCAAUAUCACUAUAGUCAACUAUAUUUUGAACUGUGAAGGGUGAAGAUCUUUUGAUUGGCGAGUGCUGACAAUCGUGUCAAUAAAAAGUUGAUUGAUCUCCAUUAAUCGAUAGACCUCCAUUAAAGUCUUGGCCUAAAAUUUCAGCUUGAUGUUAAAAAUAUAUACAACAAUUAGCAACGGUAAUGAGUUGAUUAAACCUUAAAACCUAGAUUUGAAUUAUUGACAUGCAUAUAAACUCUCACGUAUCCUUGAUUUGAUAUAAAAAUGGGUAUGAAUUCACUUUAUAAAAAAGGCUAUGAACUGUGUUGAAGAUUAAUAGUCUACUCUGUAGUAAAAAGUUGGUGCCAUUGGUUUUGUAUUUAAAAGAAAAAGAUGAGGGAAAAGAAGAUUACUUUAGUUAACAUCUCAUAGAAAUAUUAUAAACGUUCUUUCUUUCUUUAUAUAAUAUGCUUUUCAAUGUCCCAUUUUUUAAAUUUAAAAAAAAAACUGUUCUAUAAACUGAAUUCAUUCUUAUUAUAUAUAGUACUUUGUUGUCAUUAUACUGCAUUCUCUCCCUCUUUUGAAGCCACUAAACACAAGGAGCCAAUUAGACACUUAUAGACAGAAGAAAGAGGAAGAGUGAGAGUCUUUGUCUUUACGUAGGAAACUGCAGGCACACGAAAUUGGCUCAUGCCGUCUAAUCAAUUUUUUUUAAAAAAAGGUAUAAUAAUAAUAAUAAUAAUAAUAAUAAUAAUAAUAAUAAUAAUAAUAAUAAUAUUAAUAAUAAUAAUAAUAUUGAUUAAAUGCCCACCAAUUAAACCCACAAUAAAACUCCCAAUUCUCUCAGGCAAAAGCAACAGAGAAAAUAUUCCACAUCACAAUUCAUUUAUAACCAUUUCAUGUACGACAUCGGCUUUUAAUUUAGUGGUUUAAUUAGUAGUCUGUGAAAAAAAAAAUUAAAAAGAAAAAAGAUUGAGUAGCUUUUGAUAUAUAUAUUCUAUACAUAGCCAUUAAUAUUUCUCCUUAUUAACAUGUUUAAGGAGCUAAUUCUCAUAACUAUUGUACUUCUAAGGGUAUUUACUGGAUAAAAUUAUUUCAAGGUGGUAAUUUACAAAGAUAGUCAAAAAAAAAAAAAGUACAUAAUAAAGAAAUAAAGAGUCAAUAACCACCGAACCGGAAUACUCUAAGAUUUCUUGGUUUUUUCUUCCUACAAUUAUUUCUUUCCUAUUGUAUAAAAUAAACUUUAAUCAAUUAAUACGCUCUUUGGUCAACAUAUCACCACUCUUAAAAAGUAAAAAAAAAAAAAAAAAAAAAAGACAAAGCUGAAUUACCACCUCCCACUCAAACAAAACAAAACUCUUAAAACAGUCCAAAUAGAAAACUACAAGAAAAAUAAACAGAACCCAUUUGCUCAAUUAUUACAAACCCCACAACUUUGUUUCCCUCCACACAACCCAAAAUCUCAAACCAAAUAAAUCCCCCCUGCACCCCCACAAAGCUCAAACCCUAAAACCCAAAGCAGUUCACACAACACAACACUAUCCAUGGCAUUUUCACAAACGACACUUUUGCUCAAACUAGUGUUGCUGCUACAUCUUCUUUGCAGCAUCAUCACCACCUCAACCUCCGCCGCCUCUGACACUCAUUUCCAAAUCUUGAACGUCAAUGAAUCAAUCAAAGGUUCCAGAACCGAUCAUGCAAAGAUGUCCCAAUACAAUGAACUCUUUGAAAGGCAUAAUAAUAUCAGUAGCAGUAACAUAUCAAGUGAUGAAGCAAGAUGGAAGCUGGAACUUGUACAUAGAGAUAAAAUAUCAUCCUCAUCGAACACCACCAACAACAUGCAUUAUCAUCGACAGCAACACAGUUUCCAUGCACGCAUGCAAAGGGACGUCAAAAGGGUUGCUACCCUCGUACGCCGCCUGUCCGGAGGGGGUGCCGACGCUGCAAAACAAGAGGUGCAAGAUUUCGGAACCGACGUCGUUUCGGGCAUGGACCAAGGCAGCGGUGAGUACUUUGUCAGGAUUGGAGUUGGUUCCCCGCCAAGAAGCCAGUACAUGGUUAUUGACUCGGGUUCAGAUAUCGUGUGGGUCCAGUGUCAGCCUUGUAGCCAAUGCUAUAAACAAUCCGACCCCGUCUUCGACCCCGCUGAUUCGGCGUCGUUUUCUGGAGUUUCUUGCAGCUCCGCCGUCUGUGAUCGCCUAGAGAACGCCGGAUGCCACGCGGGGCGGUGCCGUUACGAGGUGUCGUACGGUGAUGGGUCGUAUACAAAGGGCACCCUUGCGCUUGAGACGCUUACAAUAGGCCGGACGGUGGUCAAGAAUGUGGCUAUUGGAUGUGGGCAUAAGAACCAAGGCAUGUUUGUCGGAGCCGCUGGCUUGCUGGGCCUUGGAGGUGGAUCCAUGUCACUAGUGGGUCAAUUGGGUGGCCAAACUGGUGGCGCAUUUAGUUACUGUUUAGUGAGUCGGGGCACCGGAUCUUCCGGGUCGCUGGUAUUCGGGCGUGAAGCAUUACCCGUGGGUGCUGCUUGGGUCCCCUUGGUCCGUAACCCACGUGCCCCGAGUUUCUAUUAUGUCGGGCUCUCGGGCCUUGGAGUCGGAGGUAUGCGGAUACCCAUAUCUGAAGACCUUUUCCGGCUAACCCAAAUGGGUGAUGACGGGGUGGUUAUGGACACGGGAACUGCCGUGACUAGGCUGCCAACACCGGCUUACGAGGCGUUCCGCGAUGCUUUUGUUGCGCAAACCGGGAACCUCCCUCGGGCCUCCGGAGUAUCAAUAUUUGACACAUGUUACAACCUCUCCGGGUUUGUAUCGGUGCGGGUUCCAACCGUAUCAUUUUACUUCUCGGGCGGGCCAGUGCUCACUCUUCCAGCAAGUAACUUUCUUAUUCCGGUGGAUGAUGCAGGCACAUUCUGUUUUGCAUUUGCUCCAUCCCCUUCGGGACUUUCCAUAAUAGGGAACAUUCAACAAGAGGGGAUUCAAAUUUCAUUUGAUGGAGCAAAUGGGUUUGUGGGAUUUGGCCCCAAUGUUUGCUAAGCAUGUGCUGUAAAGUCAGCAGUGAAUUUUGCUAGUCUUCAGGUACUAUAUAUUUUAUAUGAAUAGUAUAUAUUAUAUUAUAUAUAAAUAUUUGUGAACCAUUAUUGUAUUAAUAUUUUAUUAUCAUGUGGGCAUGUUAUCCCAGUUAAUAAAGUAAUGCUUUCUUUACUAAUGAAGAAGUUUGCGUGAAAGACUACAUUUGUGAUUGUGUGAUUCUAUAAAGCUUAUGCAGAGAGGCAGCAAAGUUCAAAGAUAGGUAUUAGGUAGGGUAUUUUAUAAAAGAGUCAAAAAUUCCCAAGGCAAAAAUCUGAGAGAGUCAAAAGAAUCACAAAAAAGGUAAUUUACCUGGGUAUAAGAGCAAGCCUUUAUGUGACAUGAGAGGAUCCAAGAGAGUCCUUUUACUCUAAAUUUAGUAUAUUCACAUCAACAAGUUAAUAAUUCAGUCUCCAAUGGAUGGUGGAAAAUCAACCCCCCCCCUUAUUUUCUUUUUUCCUUCUAAAUCAUUAACGUGAAGAAACUCUCUUCUGUUCCCUCUCUUUCUCUCUCUCUCUCUCUCUCUCUCUCUCUCUCUCACAAGAGCAUAGUGUGCGUAAAUCAUGAGGGCAAGGGAGCCACCACCAUGGUAUUGGUGGACAUGUGUAGCCAUCACUAGUCGUUUUGGUCGAACUUUGGUGUAGCCUAAGUUGGAGGGCAUUCAAGCAAUGACUUUUACAAAGGCAUCUGCUUUUUCCCUAUUUUGAAAGACUUUUUGAGUGACGAGAUCAUUACCUUUGCCUUCUUUUCAAAUAAUAGAACAGAAGUUGUGAAGAAACAAAACAAUCUAGUACCCCCGUUCCCAUUUCCAUCUGAUAUGGUAUAGAAGUUGGAAAACAAACUAUCACAAACGCAAUUAAUCCUCUCAGGGCUUUGUUUUAAAAGCACUUUAGAGGCCCACAAAAGUUCAAUAUUUGUUUGGUGAAGUUGGUGAAAGGAAUCGAAUCAACAAAAGCAAAUGUAAGCUUUGGUCAGUCACAAACUCCAGUAUCCUUUUGAAUAUCCUUGCAAUUUUUACUUUUCACCCCCAUUUAUGAUUUCCCCCGAGCCCAAGAAAAAGGAAACCUAAAAUAAAAUAAAAUCUUGUCAAAGCGCGCUGUCCUGUCGGUAAAUGUCUCAAACAGGUUAAAGCAUUAAUCGAGAUUAAAAGAGAAUCAAAGAUGCGGAUCAAAUCGGAUCAACAGGCUUAAAGACAUUUUUACAGGCAUUUCCUUUUUUUUUUCUAAAAGAUGAUAGGAAAUUGUUUCAGGAGAACUCUCAUCUUCAAUGGUUCUUUUUUACUUACCGUAUAACGGUUAAUAAAAUACUCAGAAAAUGUCAAAUUUAAACAUGCUUUCUCAUUACACGAAGGACAAUAAUAGAGAUCUUCGGCGUGAAUUAGCCUGUAAAACAGCUGGGGACCAAUUAUCCAAAAUAGAUGUAUAUCAUACUAUAUACAAGUACAAAUACACGAUCCGUACAUCUUAAUAUCACUAGUAACAAUCAACUAAAUAAUAUAACACACUGAUUGUACAAUGCUGUAAAAUUCUUGGAAAAAAUUGGCCUUCCUUACUAGGCCAGGCGCAACAUGCAAAAUAAGUAAUGUAAUCAUCUCUCCGUGUGACUCUGUCUUUGUAACACUAAUCUACACCAAAACAUAGUAAAUUAACAUGCCCGCAUUCUACUAUUUAAAUGUCAUCAAUAGACAAUAGAGCGCCCAUUCUGUCGCCUUGUUGGAAAGGUUGCGCAUACUUUUUCUUUUUCUUUUUAAAGAAAAAAAUCUUGCUGCAGUUUUCAUGAUGUUUACUAUUUAAGUACAAAUGUAAUUACUGAUUGGUUCAACAAGUUCGGCUCACACUGGCGAAGGGAUUGGGUUUACAUAUAAGCCCUAUUUAAAAAUAAAUAGACCCCCACACACCCCCCCACCCCCCAACCCCAAUGCAAAAAAUAAUAAUAAACAAACAAACAAACAAACAGAUGAUACAAUUAAGUUGAAACAAAUAUUAUAGAUUUACCUGUUAAGUAUAAAAACUUGAAUUGAAAAUUUCAUACAUUUUUGUUUUUCUGCUCCACAAAGACAUGUUGAAUUUAUCCAGAUGACAACAAAGGCCAAAAUAAGGAAAAAGGAAAAGGAAAAGUUAAAUAAUGAUGAUUGAUAGUAAUUCGUUGUUAUAACUACUUUUUUUGCUCAAGGAAUAUCUUGUUUCCACUGAAAGCACAAAAAUAUGUUCAGUCACUGUAAAAGCAAAGGGUAUUGGAGUUUGCUGCAAGUUAGCCUGUCAAAGUCUGAUUUUUGGGUUGCUUUUCUAAUGGGGCCGACAAACCAAAGGUGAAAUCUAUUCCUAGUCAUCAGAUGAGAUUGUGACUACACUACACAAACUUAAGAGGUGGUAAAAAGAAAUGUACCUUGGGCAUUGUGUCUCAGCAGCCAUGAUCAGGUCCAUGUACAAGCUAUCCUUUCCUGUCAAACUUCCGAGCCUCGACCAGCCCAUGUUAAGCAUAUAUUAAUAAACAAAAAAGCCAAUGAUUAAACUAAAUAUAUGAUAUAUACUAGAAAUAAUUAGGAAUAUUUACAGGCGGCUUUGGAUUGCUAUCCUAUGCUUGAUGGGAACAAAAAAUGCCUUUGUGGGGGCUUCAAACCUGACAAAAGUUACCAUCCAAAAAAUAUAUCAACACCCAUCAAGUCCUAAAUGAGCCACAGCAUAUGCAGGAGCUACAAGAGCAGCUACAGAUUUCCUUGGGUCAAUGUAGCUGAGCAAAACUCAUAUUUGGCUCUCAAAACUUCCUAGCAAACUAUGAUCUAUUAAAUAAAGAAGGCUGGACAAAUACAAGUUAAUGGGUAGACAGUCUUCUAGACCAUAAACAGAUAUCUAAGAUCUUCCACAGUUAGACGAGAUGCUGUGCCUCCGCCUUGAUCUUCCCCAAAAGCAGAUGCUACCAUUUUUCUUUUAUCAUCCUGCAAGACAAGGAUAUUAAUAAAGACAAUGCAUCAGAGGAUAAACAAUUUUCAUCUUUCCAUUUAACAAUCUCUAUUUGCACCUUAACCUCUAUUGCCUUUAUUAUUUCAACUUAACAAAAUCCAAAAAAGUAUGAGAGAAUUUUAGCAUGUCUGAGUGCACCAACUUUAUCUUUCAUCACCAAUGACGAACAACCUUUCUUCCCCUUUUUAAAUGAGGAAAUUUUAUUGAAUAUGAAAUAAAAGAGGAACAACAAGUCAAGGUAGGGCAUAAUGAGUCUAAACCCUCAAGGUAACUAGAAAGAGACUAAGAAAGCACAUGCAAACCAAAGCCUCAAAAAGAGUCAAGAAAAUUGGUAGUUUAGCAACUUCCAAUAGCAAAAGCGAAUUAAUUUCAGCUAGAGGCUGAUCCCAAAUAUAUAAUAGCUAAAGAAUGCAAGCCUAAACUGGCCAAAAUUUCAGCAAAAAGUACGAACUGGUAAACUAAUUCAUUGCAAGUUAGCAAGCACAAAACCACAUCCACAAAAUAGAACUUCAGGGUUAAAGGUUGUGUACAAUUCAUACACCAUAACCACCUCAAGACUCACCUGGUGUUUGCACAUGCCAUAACCACAAAGGGAAACAAUGAACUAAAAGGGGAAAUUAUUUUGAUACACAAACAAGGCUAAAUUUCAAGGAAUACUAUCCAUAUUAAAGUCCCACAACCAGUGUACAAAGCAAGCAAAGAGGAGGCAACAAGGUGAUUAGGUGAAACUAGAGAGAUAGGAAAUCAUUAACUAACAUUUGUUUCACUUGCAAUGCAUCAAUUAUGUCAGUAUAGAGUCUUCUAUUUUUAAUUUUACAAAUUUCUAACGACUUUUGAGCUAGUUUAAAUUGUUGACCAAAUUUGAAUAAGAAUCUCAAUAUGCCAUUCAGGUGACAAUUCUAUAAGAAUAUAUGUUCUCUGUUAAUAAUGACGUUAUAACACCCAUGCAGUCAUGCACAUAUUAUUUACUAGAACAAUGAUGAUUUACAUCAAAAUGGGAAUAAAAUCUAACAUCAAGAAAGCUAUCAAUAAUAAUCUGAAACCAAUACACUAAGAUGGCCAUGCCUACUUCAACAUCCAAAAUCCAAAUUAAUCAUCUAACACUGUAGGGACAUUAUCAUUUUAAGUUGAACAUCAUCAAACAUUUACUCAAUGUUUAUAUAUAUAGUCCAAAUUAAUCAUCUAACGCAGCCCCGGGCGCCGCGAGGCCCCUCGAAAAGUUGUAGGCCUUUCCGAGACCCGGGGGGGUCACACCCCCCCCUCCCCACCCCCACGGGCCAAAGGCUAUAGCACACCGGCCUCGGUGCCCUUUGGGCCGCUGGCCCCCUGCCCUGCAGGCACUUUUUUGGGGCGGGCCUCUGCAAGCACCUCCCCUCAGGCGCCACGAGGCCCCUCGAAGUGAUACAAAAGAGGACCUAGUCUGGGAGCUCACGAUUCAAGUUAUAUUUGGACAUCGAAGGAAACAACAGAAGUAAGCCUCUAUUGCACAGUAUCAUUAUUAAGCAAGAAUUUACAGAUUUAUCAAGAAACCAAUCCCACCGAAGUUAAUAAUUAAGAAACCACCAAAUAUUCCUAUCAGAAAAGACCAAAGAUUAUAAAUCUUCCCAAGACUCACUUGAAGGCAAUUCAAUUUUGAACAUAGUCAAGGAAUAAUGCAGAUUUAUGCUAGAAAAGUGCUUUGAGGGCCAAAGGCCCAUGGCACAUCAGAAGUGCACUUUUGCUCCAUUCCUGCCUCAACCUUGUGAAAAAAACUUGUUUCUUCCUUUCCUCUUCUUCUGUUUUGCUUUCCUUCCCUCGAUCAUAAAUUCAAUAUGCAUAUUAUUGGGUUAUUUUCUUGCUAAUUUCCUAUUAGUUGGAACAAAUGCUUCCUAAUUUAAUAUCUUUCACAACUAUAACCAGUUGGCAUAUCUCUAUUACACUUUUACAGCUUCAAAAAACUCCUUUCAUUUAACAUUUUAGUUCCCAAAACUAAGUUUGUAUACCCUACUAAGCCGGAAGUGCUGGACCAAAUACCUUGGGAUUUGCCUUAAGUCCAGAAAUUGAGGAGAACAUACCUCAGUCCACACAUUCCAGAAAUUGGAUUAGCUCCAUUUUUUAAUAUGUUGUGUUUGAAAAUCGAUACCUUCUUGAUAAACCAAUUACUAUAGUCAGAGUUCUAACUUCUCAACUUCCAGGCAUGCUAAUCAUUAAAGAUACAUCAGAUAAACUAAGCAGAUGUUUAAAUAUAAAGCCAGUAAAAACUUAGCAACAAUACCUGGAGUUUUAAUAUUCUAUCUUCUACAGUAUCUCUAAUAGUGAGCCGAGUAACAGUCACAGGACGUGUCUGUCCAAUUCUGUGUGCUCGAUCAACAGCUUGAUCUUCUGUAGUUGGAUUCCACCAAAGAUCCAAAAGAAUAACAUGGCUUGCAGCAACCAUAUUCAAACCAAGGUUUCCUGCUUUUAGCGACAUCAGCAUCACAGUGAUCUGCUAUAACUUCAACAAGUUAGAUGAUCAUAUUACAGCUCAGAUUAUUAGUGUUAAGAACAGAUAAAAUCUUUUUUGUGACCAAUGACAUCAACUUUUGUUCCGAUAGUACUACAUCCAAAAUAAAAUUGUAUUCCAGUCUUAUUAAAGUUAUAGAGAACAAACCUCGCGAUCAGUGUUGAAAUCCUUAACAGCCCUAUCUCGGGCAGGUAGAGACAUUGUGCCAUCAAGCCUCCUGUAUUGUAUACAAUGUUGAUUCAGUGAAUUCUCAACCAAAUCCAACAUUCUAGUCCACUGCGAGAAGACAAUUGAUUUUAUCGGUCCUUCAAUUGGUGACUUUGAAUGUACUGCAGAUGAACCAUCGCUUCCUGCGAGAUCAUGAAUCUCUACAAUCGAGCAUUUAGUGUUUAAUUCACAUUGUGUAUGAAGAAUAUCAAGAACGGUUCUGAUCUUUGAUGAAAUAUACUCAUUGUCGAGAAUCCCUGAUUUGUCAGCAAAUGGAGAAUCUGUGGGACUACCUCCACCAUCAUCAGAAACACAAUUUUUAAGAGUAGUUUUUGAGAAAACAACAUCAGCACCUAGUUGUUCUUUACAUCUAGGUGCAGGGCACAUAUUGUCAUCUCCUGUAAUAUACUCUGAUGCACACUGGUAGCAAAAAACAUGGCCACACAUGGUAACAACAGAGUCCUCAGGUGGAUCCUAUAAAACAAUCAAAUAUGGAAAUAUUAGAAGAUCUGUCAUGAGUAGUAAAUAGGGCCGAAAACAAAGGUAAUCACCAAGUAUCAAGCACAGAAAUUUUGGGACAUACUGGCACCCAAUUCUCCAAAACAUCCAGCUACAUGGUAAAUAUGUCUAGCAAUUUCUUAGGCAAUAUUUAUACGGCCAAUAUGAAUCAAACAUAAAACAGAACAUCAAAACAAAAUGCUCCAUGUUAAUUUAAAGAGUAUAAAAUGAUACAGACGGCCAAAGACAAAUCCAAGCUUUUGCUUGUCGGAUAGGCAGAGAAUAUGUAGGGGAAUGAGACAACUCUCUCUGAGGAAUUUAGCAAAAUAGCCCCGUAGCUUUAGCAAAAUAGCCCCGUAACUUCCAGAGAAGCUUUCGCCCAAGGAGAAAUGAAUACAGCAGAUACCAUUAAGACAAAGCAUCUGAAUAUGACUCUUUUCCAUCUUGGUGCAUUAUAUGCUAGAAAGGUAAAGAGACAGCUAAUCAUCUGUUAAUCCACUACUCAGGAGCACUUUAUGGGCUAAUUAAUGCAAGGCAGAUAAAAUUCUACGGCGAAUGGGGCUUCUGUUACUUUUCUGAACAUUUAGUCCACUUUUUCAACUCCUUUCUCCAUUUCUUGUAUGAUACAUCUUUCCAGUCCAGCUACUUGAGUAUAUAUGGACUACUCCCAUCAGACAUCUGUUUAAGAAAAUGUGGGCCAACAACUCUUUCAUAAAAGAAUUGUCAGAAGACAAAAAUUUGACCGACUAUUUACAUAACAAUUGCAAAAUCAAAGCAUUGGAAAUUGAAUCCUUUUGUCUUUUAGCAAUUCUUUACGCAAAGAGAUGCUGAUUCAUAUUUGAAGAGAAUGAGUACAUCAAAUGUUCUGCACUAGAAAAUACUCACACAAAGAUAUGACGGGUCAUCAUUGCAGUUUUUUCCCCCUAACAGUUCAUGAAUAAGUGAGUACAACCAAUGUAUCAUAUCACUUCCUUUUCUCACAUCCAUGCUAAUAAAACCACACUGCUCAUAGCUGCGCAAUUCCAUCACCUCCAGAGAUGGAAUUUUUUUCCUUUUUUUUUUUCUCUUGUUUAUAAGAAACUGUAAAUUGUACUAAAGAUGAAAAAUCAUUACAAGGAGUGAAUCAACUGUCCACCAAGAAAGCAAAAUAACAAAUUUAAAUUUAUUUAAUGGUAGAGACAACAACAAUUAUAACUUUCAUACAAUAACCAUUUAGCAGCGUGGACAAUUGUCGACACCAAACAAUAACGAACAGCCAUAUCUAUGUUAUCGAACUUCAUAGUUAUUUUUAAAACAAUAAUGGUUGAGAUUCCAACGGUUGAGUCCCAACUUUUAUGUGUCAUUCACCUAUUGGAUGGUGAAUUUCAUAACUGAUAAAAUUAAUAUCCUACCAACCAUUAGAUGAAUGCCACAUCAAUUAGGACUCAAGUUGGAACUUAAUUGUUGGGAUCUCUAGCAUUACUCUUUUUUUAAAAAAAACAAAAAUGAUUUCCAAUACAACACAAUGAAACCACUUCCGUAAGUUAAGAAUACUACUUCACCCCAGAUUGACUAAGCAUUUAAUGAUUGGGACUUUGUGACUAGCUUUUUGGACUUUCCUAUAAACACUGUACCAAGAAUAGCAAAAGAAUGCAACCAAGCCCCAUCAUUACAUGGAUUUUUACUUUUUAAUUUUUUAAAAAUGCUUUUUGGUAACGGACUGCCAUUACCACAAUGACAGAUCGAAACUGGUCUUGAGGAGAUGGAAACUAGUAUGAGCAAUUUCUCUAACAAGACUAGAAUUCCUAAAAUACCUAGCCAAACUCAGAUUCAAGAGAAUCAAAUAUUAACAGAUGAUGUUCUAAAACUCCACAGAGACCAUAGUAGACAAACAUCCAAUAUAUCAUCUGUUACUAUUAUUCAUCAAAACCUCAAAUCAAGCAUAAGCCAUAAAAAAUACACAAUAAUGAGAUCAUUUUUUUUAAUAAGAAAGAGAAUGAAUUCUGUCAAAAAAUUCCAGAAAGAAAAAGAAUAGAAGUAUUACGUUUAAAGUAAAAACUCACACUGCAUACACAGCAAAUGGCAGAGGAAGUUUCCAAGCGACUCAACAGAUCAAUUAGCAUGUCUCUAGGGAGUCUCUUUGCCAUUUCACCAGAAAUUUUUCCAACAGAGUCAAAAUCAUAUUCUUUUACGAGAAGAGGGUGAUCACAAGCCUGACGGAGGCGUAGAAGCAUCAAGAGAAUAUUUGCAUAGUUCUGGUUCACUGUGCCAGCGUCAGCAAAAGCCUGAAAGAAAAUUGGCUUAGAUAUAUGAGAAAUCAGCAAAGAAACCAACAAAUUGAAUUUGAUCUUCAAAGGAAAAAUCCUUAAAACUACUAUGGAAAGAUCCUCCCUCCAUUCUAUCUUAAGCCACUCCUGGGAUGUAUAAAGCCUAGGCUCUCUUUGCAUGUCAGAAAAGAGAGCCUAGGCUUUAUAGUAAAUAAAGGCAAGGUAUCUGUUUGCAACUCAGAAAAGUCAAACCAGUCGAUUUAUAUAUUUCCUCAACUUGAAUAAUGAUGUGAAGUAGAAACCACCUUAAAUUUCUUAAGAGAAUCGGAUUCAAGCUUCUUAUAGAAGGCCCACUCCUCUUUUGAGAAAUCCACCUUUGUCAAGCUGAUAGUUUUUGGAGGCAAAUUAAUUAUAGGCUGGCCAUCAAUGAAUGUUCCUGGACAUAACAACUAACGAAGAUUAGCAUCAAACAAACAAAAAGGAAACAGAAGUUCAAAUUCAUUAUGGCACAAUCAAUGGAACAACAACAGAGAAACAUAUGGUUCUGAUAGCAAUGUACCAACAUCCCUCAUGAUGAUUCAAAUUUAGAUACAUCAAUAAUUAAAUUUCAUUUUGCUGAUCACAGGUAAAUGAAAGCAGAAAUAAAAUUCAUAAGUGAAAAGAAAACCCAGACAAAAGUAUGACACACUUCACUUAGAUUAUCUGUAACAGAAAGUAUACUAUAUUUGUAAAUGCACUAGAUCGCUAGGAAAAUAAAAUAAAAUGAAUUACUCCAGCUGAAGCAACGUCAAAUAAAAACAUUGCAGUUAUCUUUAACCGUCUUAUAAAUCAGAAAUGCCAUCCAUGAAGACUAUCACAAUUCAUUCCUAAACAAGAUGCCAAAGUUCCCUAAGAGAGCAUGCAAGGCCAGAAUAAAGGUUACAUGACUGAUGAAUUGGAAAACCAAAGAUUUUGGAGUGAAAAAUACACACUUUUGAAUUAACUAAAACAAUACCACUGAAAGGAUUGUAUCACAUGGUGACUAUCACCAUUACAUAAUCAUUCAUCCUUUGUAGCUACUACCCACUUGGUAUUAAAGUUGGGACUUACCACCAAAGCAGGUUCACACAUUUUUUUAUAGAGUUUAUAUUUGGAAAGAACCAAAAAAUUGGUUUCGGUAUAAAAUUGACUCUGGAAAAUCUUUAAAAGGAACAAGUUCUACAAUUCCCCAAAGAGUCCAUAACAAGCAAUCUGGCAAGCAUUCUAGCUACACGUCACACCUCCCCACGUAGCCAAAAAUACAAUUUCAGCCAUGACAUGAUGAAAGUAGUGCAAAAACUGAAGUGAUACCUCUAGCCAAAAGCAAUACAAGAGCAGACAAUCCAUUGUUUCAUAUUCAUUCAAUAUGGAAUGCAAGGUGCUUAAUGCAGUUUUUUUUUUUUUUUUUAAAUGAACGUGUUAUCCAAUAUUUCUGCAUAUUUAAAAUAGAUCUAUACUUAACAGUGUUCUUUCCACAAAUAUAUUCGCAAUGCAGCAGAACUACAAUGAGACCAUCUAAACAUUAUAUUCUUGCAUGAAAAUAGUCUUAACAGUGUUCUUUUUCUUAAUGCCAGAAACAAGCAAAAGAAGAUGCAAGUAAAAGCAUCAACUAUGCAAGUCUAUAAGUAAUUAAUGAGAUUAUCUUCCAGUUUAUGUCAGCUACAAUAGUUCUUCAUUAUGUGAAGACAUCCUAAUCCAAAAUCAAUAGCAGCUGCAGUCAUUUUGUAGACUGACAAGAUACCUAAAAUGACAUGAAUUCUUAAAAGGAAACGAACAGAAAGAAACACAUAGAAAUCUUCACAAAACCAUGAAUCAGAAUUAGAGACGCAUCACACAUUGAACAUCAUGCCAUGAACAAAAGCAAUAUUCCAAACUCCGCCCUUCCAAAUAUAUAAUACCACACAACCAAAAAAAAAGGGAAGACCAGUUACCUUUUGUACGACGCAGCAUUAUAGCCCUCAGUACAGCUUGAAGUUUCUUGUAACCAUGAAGUGAAUUUCUUGAUAUUGGGAUCUUUAUAGUACUGUAGAAUGAUUUGUAUACAGCAUAGGGGUCAUACUUUAGAAACCUGAAGUAACUGUACAGAUCAUCGAUUGAAUUUUGUAUUGGUGUUCCAGAUAAGCACCACCUUCUUUUGGCUCGAAGGCUACAGCAGGCUCUAGCCACUUGAGUUCGGUGAUUCUUUAUUGUUUGAGCUUCAUCUAGCACCACCCGAAACCAACCUACUUUGGCAAGUGGACCACAUCCAUAAUCAAUUGAGGAAUUGACAUUUCCUUUUUUACCCUUCCUUCCCCUCUUGCUAACAUUAGAUAUCUUUUUCCUCUUCUUAUUCACUGAAAAUUCAGAAGAUAGUCCAUAAGUUUCCCCAUUUUUUUCAUCAGCCUCUUCUUCAUCAACUGAAGGUUGUUUUGGAACUUCAUUAGUUACAAUAGAAUAUGUUGUCAGAACCACAUCAUACUUAGCUAGUUCGACAGGAUCCUUUGUCCUACUACCUCCAUGGUAGAUAAGGACAGAAAGUGCAGCCUUAUCUGGAACUUUGUCUUCCAGCUCCCUGGCCCACUGUCGGAGAACACUAGCAGGACAAACAACCAAUGUACCAGCGGCUGGCCUCCGCCGGCUGAAUGAACGAGUAGAAGUACUUACUUCUGGGACCGGUUUGAUGUCAUCAGAUUCUCCAGUCUCCUUAACCUUAUCCAGACCAGCAUUGCCAUUAUCAUCAUCAUCAUCCAAAUUUAAAGCUUCAGUUUUCUGAUUGCCUAAGACUUCUGUUUUUGAUUUUGAUUGCAGUGACCUCUGCAUUUGUAUAAGGGCAAUAAUUGAGAUGGUUUUACCAAGGCCCUGCAAAAUAAUCAGUCAGUCAGAAAUUUGAUCCUAUCAAGCUAGUAUCCUUAAGAAUACAUAUAAAAGUCAACAAAGUUUAGAAAAGACAACCUGGUCAUCAGCUAAAAUUCCACCUAAACAAUGUAAACUUCUCGUUUCCUUCUGAAGCAUCCAUGCCAAUGCAAUCUUCUGAAAACUUAAAUAAUGUAGAUAAACUAAGUGAUGGAUGGAAAUCAAAAAACAGAAUUAUCUAAAUUAAAGAUAAGACUAGACCUGAUGUUUUAAGAGAUUGACAGACAAGAGGCCAUCAGGUAGAGUAGCUUCCACUUUUGGUUGAUUUAGAUCCUGCAACAAACAAAGUGCACCUUAUUUAAACUUUUUAUUGCUUCAAAAAUAAAUUAAUUUCUCAGCAGCUAAUUAUCAAAAAGAUGCGUAUAUUUAAUUGCUUUUUAUACCCAAAACAAAAUCAGCGCAUCUUCCAAUCAGCAUCCUGAAGACAACACCUAGAACCCCAUCCAUUAUAAUGGAACUGAUUUAGAAUUAUGAAAAAGCAUAAUCUGCAUGCCUUAAUAUCUCUUGCAAGGCAUUUGGAGAAGGAGGACUAAAUCCACAUGACAGAGAAUCCAAAUGGAAAAGAAAGAAGGUCCAACGCUUUAUCUUCUUCUUUUAACAUUGUUUACUAUUUUCAGGAAAAUGAACAGAUGCAUACUUAUAAAAAAUAGUUACAUAGGUGGAUGCGAUCUCCACAAUCAACUCAAAGACAGAAAACUAUACAAAACUCAACUAAAGUUCUUUGUAACUAUGUCUCCUGUAAACAGCAAGACUCUCAAAACAAAAAAUAGCUCACAACCAAUCAAAGUAUAUUUCCAUAAACUUUCCUUUAAAGAAAGCAAAGAUAUUCUCAGUAAGUAGAACCACAAGAAGCCAAAGCAACCCACAAGAUUUUCACUUCUUUGGCGAUGAUUUCCAUUAGAAAAGUGGUUAUUGUCAUACAUUUUUUCGUUUGUAGCUUUCAUUCAAAUGGGUAGGAUUCCAAGGAGUUAGGGGAUGCAUAGUAGGAAUUGAAAAGCCAUCUUUAAAGAGUACUUCCUUAACCAUAGAGAUCUUGAAGUGGGUGGUAAAGGGAAGGAUAUUCAUAUUUGGGAGGAUAUAAAUGGUAGUAAAUUUCUUCUUAGUAAGGCUUUCCCCCACUCUGAGUUGGAAUUGGAAUUGGAAUUUUGAUUUAAAAGCAAUAUGAGAGAAAGAAUUCAAGAAUUUUCGAACUUUUUGGAGUCGGUCAAUCAUUUCAAUAUUGAUGAGAAAAAACAAGAUAGAAAAGAAAUAGGAAACUAGAAGGCUGGGGUAUCUACUCUUGAAAAUCUUUUCUUCAGAACUUGUUUGAAGUUUUCAAUGGAGAAUUUUAUAACCAAUGAAUAGAAUGGGCGGGACAAUAAAACAGAACGUAAAAUGUCCCUCACCAAUACUUCAACUUUCCUUGCACCAACUUGGAACCUUGAAUAAUGUAAGAAAAUAGAUUGGGAUAACCAAACGUUUCAAAAUUGAGUUAUCCUCCAAUUUUAAUGUAAAAUAAAAAAGAGAAAAGGAAAAAGAACUGCCUAACUACAUUAAAACUUAUCCCCAAUAUCCAAAAAGACAAUAGGCAACUAUUGACAAUUUUUCAAAUUGGGAUCUUACCUAGUACUUGUCUUAAUAACUUUAAAGCAGACACUCAUCCAGUAACACUUAGUCCUUCAAAAAGAUCAUACUUCAUUGUGCAAGGCAUUAGGGCACAAGCAAUACAUCAAGAAAAUAAGUUAACAAAAAUGGAAACCUUGAAAUGGAGUAACAAAACAAAUAAUAAAGACUAGAAACUUGACUAUAUUUCAAGAGCAACAAGAACCAAGGACUACAGUUGUCAAUAGGAGGAAACUCUAGAAGAAGAGUAAGGCCAUAAAUAAUGUAGAAAAAGAUGGUGAGAAGACAAAAAAGGACCAAGAAGAUGUGAUACAAAAGAAGCUAAACUGUUAAAAAGGAAAUAGGCAGCCAACUAUAGUCAUAAAACCAAAACAAGAUAAAUCAAUGAAUAUUUGGUGAAUGCAAGGGGGCACAACCCAGAUACAUGGGAGAAUAUAAAAGAAGUACCAAAAAUAGAACAAAACUGUAGAAAGAAGGAUUGGUUGCAGUUACGGUCAAUUAGGUCUCAUUUUGAGACCUUAUUUCUGAACUUUAAAUCUACCUACUGUUCAAAAAAUCCUAGUAAGUCCCCUAACUUAUGAUCCUAUUCCUUAAGGGGGGAAGAACAAAAGUCUAUACUCUCCCAAAAUAAGCUAUUCAAGGAUAAAAUACUGUGCACAUAUCCCAGGACAUCUAUAAGCUGUUCUUGUGGAGAAAAAUUGCUGGCCAAAUAAUUUGUCUGGACUAACAUACAGCCAUUUGCACGCAACAGGAUCUGCAAAUUAUUAUGAACCAAAUAUUCUUGUACCCAACUAUUUCUAGUCAUCUGUUUACUAUAUCUCAAAGCUACAUAUAUAUUGACGUCAAAGAUAAAAUAUAUACCAACAAUUCCGCCAAAAAAAAAAGAAAAAUAAACAAAACAACUGCCUAUUCAACUCAUUUUUGCAUUAAAAAAAAGGUCCCAAAUACCUCCAAUGCCGCUUGAUAAAUCAAUCUUUCAUCACCUCCAACUGCCCUUUCAUCAGCAGAACCUGAACGAUAGGCUAGGUCACUUGGACCACCAAAUUGUGUUAUGGAAACUGACUUUCCAUGCAUCAAAGAUGAAGGCAAGAUUCUGUUCCCCUCAUACAUCAUAAUAUCAUCAUCAUUUUUCUUCACAUAAUAGUCUCUCAUAUAGCCCUUGCUGUUGACUGUACUUGGCCCAGCUAAGUGGUAAGCGUUUCCAAAAGUAUCACGAAUCUGACUGCUGUUCAUAUUCUCUACUGAACUUUUUGAUUUUGUAUUUAGUGAAUGUGGCUGAGGAAACGCAGGGAGUGUCCUCUUCAAAGCCUGUUGAGAUGAAAUUUUCUCAUAAUCUGCAGAGGCAACAUUUGCAAUUCGAGGAUUAACAGUCUGCAGCUGACCCACAUUCUUGUUCCCAGAUAAAUAAUGAGAAUCAUCUGCUUGACCAUUAGACAUUUGGUGGUCAUCACUAAAACCAGGAAGCAUCUGCAGUUUUUCCUGUGAAUAACUAUUUGCAUUCGAAGAGCUGCCAUUGGAAGCAUAUGACCUUUCAAAAGAAGGAACCUUUUGAGACUGCCCACCAUAACCUGCAAAUUUGUUUAAUGGAACGCCAUUCAAAAUACAUUUCUCGUUUAAUUAAAACCUGAGGAAGUUUUCAAUUUGCAAACACCAGUCUGACCUGUUCUCGCGUUUACGGCGGCCUUAGUUGCCCAUGGUGGAAGAAUCCUGACGUUGCCAGAUUGUCUAGUCUCUGACGUAUCUGAUUCUCCUAUGUCCAAAUCACUAUCAGAUGAACUGAUAUCUAUUGGACUGAUUGCAGCCAUGGAAGUUAAAUAUCGGCUUUCUGUUUCUUCAACCAAUUUUGUAAAAGAACUCCUAAAAGAUGAGCAAACAUGCAACUGACAAACAUUAUUAAUACUGAAAGCAGCUAUUUAACCAGGUAAACUCUAGUUCAAUCAAAUCAUCAGACACUAGCACAUGUUAACUCACCUUGUCUACACAAUGUCUUAAAAUUAAGCUGCAAAUCCAUUUAAAGAAGAGUAACAUGACUAAGUUGAAUUGAUGUAAUUACAAAGAUGAUGCACAUGUUCAAAAAUGGAUCUCAAAGGAACUUCUCUAAAUCCUUCAAAACAGAAUAUUAAUUAACAGUUUAAAAGGACAUAGGAAAAGAAAAAUAAUACAGGAGAAAGGUCUGACAUGAAAAGCUUUUGUUUUUUCUAAGAAACAAAAGAUUAUAUAUUAAACAAUAAGAGAUAUGUACAAGGAUUAAUGCAACUACAAAUAAACAAAAACAAGGAUGGUAAAAUCAACCAUGCUUCAGAAAUUCAUUUUGAAAGUCUUUGUACAAACCAUAAAAUUUAUUUGGGAAGCACAAAAGAAGCUAAGGAAGACAAACCAAGGAAGUCGCAAGCUUAAACUUUUCUAUAGAUAGCAAUUGGUAUAAUGAACCAUGGUAAGAACGUCAAUUUAAAAUGUCAAAGAAAUCUACAUAUAUUCAAGCAGUUCAAGUUAAACUCUGAGAGUUAAACAGGUCACAUUGAGAAUUGAAUCAAAAGCCUACCUCGAUGUAGUGGCUCAAGUAAAAGCUUGCCUAUAAAAAAAGUAAACAAGAACUGUGAAUUAAUUGUUAUGUGGGGUCUGCUUGGAACCCAAUUCAGUCUGCCUUUUAUGAAAUUGAGUUCUUGUCUUAGGUUUCAAAUUAUUGUUAUGCAAUUAGAACUGUAUUUAUUUAUCUACACUUUUUCUUAAUUGAAAAUUAGCCAAAGGAUGGUAAAAUCAGGUGCCACAACCAGAAAAAAUGAUGAGUGAUACAUUAGCAUGCGCUGUGUUAUCACUCAGCCCGAGGGGGCAAUCAGCUGCAUAACCGUACUGGAUGUACAAACCCAUAAGGACACCUCAAACUAGAGGAUAAACCUUAAGGCCAAAACUUGUCCACACUCAUGCGUGCUCUCUUUUAUUACCAUUUUGUGGACAUGCAAAAUGCAUACCACUUAAACCUAUAAUUCCAAUGCUAGUGAACAUUAUAACCUAAAACUCAAAAACGUUGAAGAAAAUAACAAUAGCUCAGGUAUUUUGAUACCACACCCAGCUAAAAAUUUAAGACGGCUAAUUACAAGAGCAAAAUAAAUAAGUAAUACUCCAAUCUUUUUUCCCCAAUACAAGAGCUCACAGAAAUACCAAGCACCAAUUUUUCUUUUUUUUCUUUUUUUUGGCCUAAUUCUAGACAUACAAACUCAAUCAUGUAAACUAUGGUCACAUAAAACAAUUGGCUAACAAUCAAUCAUUCCAAGCACAAAUUGAACAAUCACAUUCUCAUCAUUUAGCAAAAGCAUUCUAUUUUUCCCCAAAAAUUCACUCCAAUCCUAGUAGGUGGAUGUCAGUUCUAAUUACCCAACUCUCUAAACACAAAAAUUCAGCCAUUACUUCACUAAAAUGGCCCAUGAUCAUAUCAUAAAACGCAUUAAUAAACCCUCUAAAUCAGCCAAUUUGGAUUCACUAAAGUUUUCUAAGGGAGCAAAAAAAUAAAUAAAUAAAAAAGAAACCUUGAACUGAAAAGGUGACGCAUUAGAGAGAGAGCGUGCGAAAACCCGUACCCGUUGUGAAUGGCGGAUCGUUAUCGAAGUACAGCACUGCACAUAGGGUUUUAGAGAGAGAAAAAGCCAGCAGUUGAUGCGCGUGUUCACAGGCGUGGUUAAGAGAGAGAGCAAUAACGGUAGCGUUUUGAGCGAGCAAUGGAAGGACACUUUAGUUUUAAUCUUUGGAUUCCGCUCACUUAACUAGUACUUACAUUUUAAACACAAAACGGGGAAUAAGCAUCGUCCACCUAAGACCUAACCAUGUUGUGAACAUUUUGUGGUUUUAAUUUCUAAAAAAAUGCAACCGCCACCCAAAGUUUUAUAUUUUGCUUUUCAAAUAAUUUGCUAAUCAAUUUUCUAAAAGGAAUUUUGUGCAUUAUUUAAACUCUAUUUUAAGAAAUGCCAGGGAAAAAUUAGUCUUCUUCGCCAGAUAUGGACUAGUUUUUCUCUAACCUAACAAUAAUAUUAAGAGCAGCUAUUGAUAAGUUUCUCGGGAGAAAAAAUAUAAAAUAAUAAUAAAAAUUAGUUAUCAUGUUAUUUUUCAUAUGUAUAAGUAGAUAUUCAAGUCCGCUAUUUGCUUAAAUAAAUAGUUGAUUUAGGAGACGAUGCAUACAUUUUUUUCUAUAAUCAUCAUCAUAUAUACAAAUUAGUUUCUAAAAGAAAAAAAAAUUGGUCGAAUAAUUACUCCAAGACUUAGUAACAUCAAACUACUUAAAAUUGUGAGGCAAGGACGAAAAUAAAAAGGAGGCUCAACAAUUAAAACAUGUAAUAGAAGUUCAUUGCAUAAAGUAAGUUACUUUUCACGUGAAAUAAAACGAAGAAAAAUGUGUCCGAAGACUUCUCUUUGACAUUUGGCCCUUCGGCCGGAGGAUUUUUUUUUUUUUUUUUUUUUUGAAUUUUAAGCUUUAAGUGACUUUAACUUAGUUGAACGGUUCUUUCAUUUUAAAAUUAAAAAAUAAAAACACAACAGUUUAACGGGUCUUUACAGAUCUAGGGAGGGCAUCUGAGUUCUGUCACAACUUAUGGGUAAGUAAUGGAUUCUAAUCUAAACCAAUGAUUAAAUUCGGAGGCCCAAAACCAAAAUGGUCCUUGCUCAUAUAUCAUAAAAGUCAUUGGGCCCCCUGUCUAAGGGAGCUCCGCUUAGACCACUAGCAUUAGUCCACGGAGCCUAAUAAACGUUCGUUGGUACUCCUCCUUUCCGUUCUUUUUACCCCACUCUUUUUGUCCGAAGUUUUAUGUAACAAAUUGCCCAAGACAUGGAUGUUAGGGUUUAACGUGGCUACUCUUUGUUUUUUCUUCUUCUUUUUUUAAUGUGAAUAAAUUUUAAGAAAUUAUGUUUGGUUAAGACUUAAGAGUAUAUCAACAGAGACUACAACAACCACAAUGUGUUACUUCAAAAACUCUAAAGUUAUAUCAUAGCAUCCAAAAGCAAAUGUUUUACAAAUAAAACACACUCUACAAGAGUUCUUAUUAUUUACGACAUAACAUAUAGAAUGUUCUUUGAAAAAAUGUUGUGACAUGUAAUAUAGACAGGUUUUAUUUUAAAAAAAAUUGUGAAAAAAUCUUAAGUUUUGAUUGACUGUGGCGUUAAAGUUAGAAACGCGUUUAAAAAAUUAAAUAAAGUUGAGACAAAAGAAGUUAUUUAUUACUAGCCGGCCUGCACUAAACUCCAUGCACCCUCAAUUAGUCCAUUUUAUAUAUUUUUCUUAUUACAAAACCCACGCCAAAAGCUUAUUAUUAUCAUUUUUUUAAAUCAAACAAAAUUUAGAACCAAUGCCCAACAGAGCUCACUGAAAUCCAGAACUAGCACUCACCACAAUCCUUAGUCUCAUUUUCAAUUCAGUUUAAUUCGUUUCUCAAUUUCGUGAAAACACACGAUACUAAAAUUCACUUCAUUAAUAUUUGAAAUUUCUUGUAAGUCUUCUCUCAUUAACUUAGCUGCGUAUGUUAAUUUCUUAAUCUUUUAAGAUUUUUUUCC